rnacentral:lncRNA from 1 species
CGUUGUAGUAGACAUUGAUACGCUCGAGUUGCAGAUCUGAGUCUCCGGUGUACCUACCGGUUGGAUCUAUGCCGUGUUCGGCGCAAACCACUUCCCAGAACUUGGCACCGAUCUGGUUACCACAUUGACCACCUUGGAUGUGAAGGAUCUCACGCAUUUUCGCAAGACAGAGAAGGAAAUCUCGAAGAGGAAGGAGCGGGAUUUAGGGUUUUUUCGGAAAAUGUGAAGAAGAGUGAGUGACUAACAAAGAAAAGGAGUGUUUUUAUAUAGAAAGGACUUAACUGAUUUAUUUGUUUUAUUUUUUAUCUCUUUCUUUUUCUUUGAUAAUUCUUUUUCUGUGAUUUUUGUUUUUAUCUUCUUUUCGAAAUUUUCAAAAUGGAACGUUACAACUUACAAAUUAUGGAAUAGAAUAGUAAAUAAUUAAAGAUAAUUUUGGCAGUUUGUGUUAUUAUUUAUUGAUUGUUUGCUAACAAAUAUGGGUUGGGAACAAAAUAUUAUAUAUGCUUUAAUUUGGUCAUAGUAUGUUAUACUUACUGUUUUAGCUGGUACCUGGUAGUAUGACUGACACAUGCCGUCACGACUCACGUGCUUUGUAUGAUAUGCGCAUUAACCCUUAAUUAACGCUCUGUGUGGCUCAAAACAUCAUAUUGUAUUGCUGAUCUUAUUGUCUCUUUGCAUAAUUGCUUUGUUGUAUCUAAAAAAUGCCCACACCAGAGUCGCUUAAAGAAUCUUAUAUGGAUACCUUUCUUUUGUUGUUGUUGUUGUUGUGUGUGCAACACUUUGCUUUUUCAUUCAUUCUAACCAGAAUAUGAGAGCUUAGUAGUUUAGCCACAUCAAGGCGUAACACAACGACCAUAGAGCUAUAUUAUGUAGCGACUUCUAUUCCUUGGUAUGAUAUGAUGCUUCAUAACAUUAGGCAAAGACCGAACUUUUGUGAAUCCAUCAUCUUUAUGUAGUGACUCCUAUUCCUUGUUCUGAUGCUUCUCAUAAGAUUAGUCAAAGACCCGAGAACUUUGUGGAUUCCAUCAUCUUUUAUAGCAAAGAUUCUAAGUUGACAAACUUUUUUUCCACAUGUACCUAUGGCCUCUCAUGUUGUUGAAGGGUUCCUCUUAUCAUUCAUACUUCAUGAUGAACAACUUAUAUACAAAUUUAUUAUUGUUGACUUGUUAGAAUGAUUCUUGUCCUUGUGGGCGUGCCGGAGUGGUUAUCGGGCAUGACUAGAAAUCAUGUGGGCUUUGCCCGCGCAGGUUCGAAUCCUGCCGCUCACGUUUUUGGUUCUCAAUAUGAUCCAUAUUAUUGAUCCCCAAAAGGUAAAGACAUCCCCAUUUGAGUACCUUAAUUUUUUUUUAUCAUACAUAACCAAAUCCUCACCUUGUUGAAAAAGCAAGAAAAUACAUUAUGGCAUCAUCCACUUGACGGGACAAGAAGAACAAGUUUAGUUUGGGAUCAAAGACAUUUGACCAUUCUUUAUUAAUGUGACAUUACUGGCGAAAUCUAUCUAUGAAAAUGAUGUUAAGAUCUUCGGCCAAAAUCUUCUUUUUUGAAAAUACUGUUAAGUCACAAGUAGAUUAAAGAAGCUCAAUUAUAGUUGUGCUUGGCUCUUUGUGAUCAAGAAAGGUUGAAACUUAUAGAAGAUGUAAAUCUUUUCUCUAUGAAUACAUAUCUUUUCGUAUAUAAAAAUAUAAACUUUGGUAAAAUAUAUCAAAGAAUCAUUUGACGAGGAAAAAUAUUGAAUUGCAUAAAAAUUGGUAAAUCCACAAUAGCAAACCAAAUUGACUAAAUAGUAGUGGUGGGGACUAAAUCUAAAAGCGGUAAAAGGUUGAGAUUUUUGUAUUUUCUUCUUUUCAAAUUCUCAUAUUAGCAUUUGUAGCAUUGUCUAUUUGUCUAUAUAUACACCCAUGAUCUUGUUGUGGCAACACACCUUAACAUACUAUCUUCUUCUACAUUCUUAAUCAUCUUAUCUUUUCGUUUCUUCUAAGUGAUUAGUCAGUAACAUAAUUCUCUUAGUAAUGGAGGGUAAAGGACGAGUUGGAUCAUCACCGUCUUCUUCUUCCUUCACGGCUCAACUCUUUGGCCCCAAGGAAUCUACUUCCUCUGCCAACUUCAACUCCAUUUUCCCUCCUCCCUCCAAGGUUCUAUUACCAUACCCUCUUCUUAUAGCUAGUUCCUUUUGUUACUUUUUUCUGAUUGGUUAUUGAAAUUCAUUCAUCCUUUUCCAUUUUUGUUUUUGUGUGUUUAAAGGGAACAUCAAGAAACAUCCUAAGCUCCAAACAUGGGUCCUUAGGUCAGUGGAUAAGCCUUUCUCCAACUGUAUUUUGUCUUCGGAUUUGUUUCAUCAGGCCUUAAAAAAACUUGUUUCCCUUCUUGAAUCAAUAUGGUUACUUUUGCUUUAUACUAAGCCAAGUUUUGUUAGAAAACGUUCUGAUUCAUCUCCAAAAUUACUCAUUCUUUAUUUCAAAAAAUGGCUCAAGUUGCUUCAUUUGGUUUGGUACUAAGUAAGUCAAGAACAUGAAGAACUCAAUCAAGAUUGGUCUAAAGUGAUUCUCAAUUCAUGAAACUAAUCAAAAAUUCAGAAGAAUUUCCAAAUUACUCUGUUUUCUUCAUCCAUCAUAAACAAUCUUGAAAACUUAGCUACCUCAUGCCAAGAGUGGCUUUUCAUUUUUGAUUUGAGAUUCACCGUUGUCUAGUCAAGACAACAAUCCCAAUCCGAGUUGUCUAAUGAAUAUACUCUCUCGUUGGUUUUGUUGGUUUCUUCACAGAAAAAAGUAAAAACACUUCAACCUGCAAUCUGAGUUCUUCUCUUUACUACGGUGGUCAAGAUGUUUACUCUCAAUCCACACAGAACCAUACUUAUCCUACAGUGAGUCAUCAUCCAUGAUCCAUCCGUUCCUACAUGAUUCAUGUCACUUUGAUGUUUGACUAUUUCAAAGAAAAUAGACAAAACCUUUUGACUUUACAAAAUGUUUGAAUCAUUCAGAUUAACAAGGAUCAGGACAGAGACAACACUGAUACCAACUCCUCGGACGCCUCAAGAGGAAACUGGUGGCAAGGUAUAUUCCUCAACCAAAUGAUUUAGUUACAACUUCUAUGUCUUUGUUUGUUUCCCUUCUAACAGUUCCCCCAUCUCGCCAUUUUCUUAGGUUCACUAUAUUAUUAGAGUGUUCCCAACUGAGGCGUCUCUCUAGAAGAAGAGCAUCAAGUUGAUAAGGAACAAUACUAAUGAUGUCAUGCUUGUCUCUCUCACUAAUGUUAAACAAAAGAUUAGAACUUUGUACUUCAUAAAAACAUUUAGAAUCCUGAAACUCGAGUAUAAAUAACAGAGGAUUCUCUCUGACUACAGAACUGAUCGAAUCUGAAACUCAAACCUAACAAACACGAAACUGUACAAACCCAAAAGAGAGUUAAAAAAUAAACACGUAAAGCACAAGAAACACAUAGAUAACAAGUGCAGAAGGAACAAGUACAACAAGAGGAACAAUAGCAGCAAGAGCAUGAAAGCUUCUCUUACAUUCCAAAGGUCCAAGUUUGAGCUGAACAAGAUCCACUAACGCCAUUGUCAAGAACCCACAUCCCAAAACCGACGCAACACACGAAGCAACGAUCCCAACCCUCAAGGCUGCCAAGUUAACGCGUCCGACUCCUGCGUUCAACACACGCGGCUCCUCCUCCACCACAACGUUCUCACUCGUUGUUGUUGUUGUUGUUGUUCUGAUUGCUUGCUUGAGAGACAUAGCGAUGAGGCUGGAGAAGAGGAAGAAGCUGAAGGAGUAAACAUGGCUUGAGACUAACCUCUCCGCUAAUGCGUUGCCUUUUGCGGCGAUACAUCGACGGAGAUGUUGGUUCUUGGCUUCAGAGGAUGAAACAGGGAAAGUGAUGUUUCCGCUUGUGGUGAGGCCGAGAAAAAGAGCAAGUGAGAAGAGGGAAUUAACGUUAACGAUGCCGUCCAGAGCCGUGACGUGGAUAAGUGUCGUUGGGAGGAGCCGUCGCCGGAGAAACUCCACGGCGCCGUUGGAAAUUGCCAUCAACUUUAAAGCUAGAGAAUUUUGAGAGAAAUUAAAAUUUAUUAAUAACUAAAGAAAGGUUAUAAGCUUAAUAUUUGUGUUACUUUGAGAGAGACUGUGUGGGAAAUGUGUGUAGCGUCGAAGCUAAGUAUGUCGUGUCGUAUCCGGUGAGGAAAACGACGGGCAGGUAAUGAUGAGAAACGUGAACCACAAGGUACCAAACCUUUUUAGUACUUUUUAGGCUUUGUAUCGAUACGUCGUCGUAUGAGUCAAAUGGCUUCUUCUUCCGUUUCUUCGGCUACUUCGUUGUGGUUUUUAUUCCCUUGUGGUUUAGUCUUUAGCCCAAAGAUUUAAGAAAUAUAUAUUGGGCCAUUGACUAGGCCUGCGAGUUCUUGUAACCGAAUCAAAUUCGGUUUUCUGCUGGUUUGAUUCGGUUACUAACACUUGGUCUGAAAUUAACUAAGCAAAAAAAAUCAAAUCGGUUUGGUUCGAGUUUAGGUAAAUUUCGGUAAUGAAAUUCUACCGAAUUGAAUCGAUUUUUUGGGUUUCUCUAGUUAAAUUCGGUUUAUGUAAUAUAUAUAAUUUGGUUUAGUUCGGUAUAUUUAGUUUAGUUUUGGAAUAGUUUUGGUUUUAAAAAAGAGGUUCUCGAUCAUUAGACGAAGAGGCAUGAAUUGCAGCUGUAUCAUGAAAAUAAGGUAAACAUAUAUUUAGGAUUUAUCAGUUUUUCUCUCUUUUGGAAAUCUAUUUAGGGGAGUAUCUAAAAUAUAACAAAUGUUUGUACUACACAAACAAAAAAAUUUAACAAGUCAAACAAUGAUGUACUUGUACUACGUACAGUACUACAACUACAACACAUAUACAUUCAAAGAAAAUUACAAUUAUAAAUACAAAACGAUUCUCUCUUAAAACUUCUGUACCUAAGAACAAAAUCUAGCUAUCAUAAACCUUUUAUACGUAUCAUGGAUCACGAUAACAUGCAUAACAUGCCACCACCAUCACCAUCAUCAUCAUCUAUGUCGAAUCAUACAAAACCACAUAUGAUGAUGAUGCACAUGACCUUCUUCUGGGGCAAGAACACGGAGGUUCUCUUCUCCGGCUGGCCCGGGACUAGCUCCAGCAUGUACGUGUUAUGUCUCGUCGUUGUCUUCUUUCUCGCCGUGAUUGUCGAGUGGCUCGCUCAUUCUCGCUUCCUCCGUGCUGAUGGCUCCACCAGCCGCGCCGCUGGGGUGGCUCAGACCGUCGUGUAUACGCUCAAGACUGGUCUCUCGUAUUUGGUAAUGCUCGCUGUUAUGUCUUUUAACGCAGGCGUUUUCAUCGCCGCUAUAGCUGGAUACGCCGUGGGUUUCUUUUUCUUCGGAAGCACUGCUUUUAAGAAGACAAGUUCCGAUGAACGGAAAACAGUCGGGCUUCUCCCGUCGUCGGGAUGCGUUUGAUGAACAAAUUUGUGUUCUUUUCUUUUCUUAUAAAGAACUUAAAAAAAAAAAAAAAAUGUUUCCUUUGUAUGUUCAUGGUUGGCUUUAAAUUGUAGUACGUAAUUCAUUUUGGUUUAAGUCGAAUUUAUGUUCUUAGGUUACAAAAAGAUUCACAAAAUUGAAUCCACAAUUUCAUGAAUGUGUUAAGUUUUUAAAAUUAUUAUGAACCACGUAAAAUUCCAAAGCCAAUUUUAAGGAAUAUACCACUUUUUUUUUUCUUGUGUUAUUGUAGUUGUUAUAGAUAACAAAUUUUGAACCACAAAUUUAUUUGAUAACAAAUUCUGUCCAUUAAAGGUGAAUUUUCAAUGAUCAUAAACAAAAUAAGUAUAACGUAUAUUAAUGUGUUAUCUUAUAAAUAUGAAUAUCUUAUAAACAGUUUUUUUUUUUGUAAAUUUGUAAUAACCAGGCAUGCAUAAUGUAUGUGUGUUUUCUCUUUUAUAGAACUGUUAUCGAAGUCGUCUCUAGACUUUAGCUAUGCCUUAUCAAAAUUAAGAAAUUGCGAAAUAUAAUUAAGAAGAUUACAAAAACUAGGCAUCUUCGUUGACAAAGCAAUUAAUAAAAUAGAUGUUGUAUAUCUUGAGCAUAGCAAUAAUUUAGUGACGGUCAAACAAUAAACAAGUAUCUAGUAGUUAUAGUACGUACCACGAGAACGGCAAGGUUCACGCCUUUUAUUCUUAGGAAAGUAAAUGAUUCGAGUGACUAUAUUGAUUUCUUUUAGAAAUCUAGAAAUGGUUUAAACAAACUUAUCAAUUCUCCAAAAUCUGCCAUAUCUCUAUUCUAAGAAACCGCAGUCAAGUCAGUUUAAUUAAACAUGUGAUCCUCAUAUUCUAACCGGAUCUAUUACCGGUAGGGUUGGUUUCCAUUUCUGUUCGGAUCAUUUAAUCCGGUUUAGCUGACCGUCAUGGAAACUAACUUGAGGGUUUCAAAGACACGAAGCUCUCGUAAUGAUCCGAAACAGUCACAUAAAUAUUACGGAGUACUGGCUUUGUCUUGAACUCGGAAAUAGGCAGUCCUUCAAUUGUGACACUUCUCAUGCUACUCGUCCUCAAAUUGUAGAAGAAAAGACGAAAAGGAUCGGACAAUUCUCAUGGAACUAGACAAAUCUCGCCAGUAUAAAAGGUAUCCAUGACGUUGAAGUCAAGACCAUCAGCAGACUGAGGCAAAUGAAAAGUGUCUAUGGACCAUUCCUCAUUCUCAGCAUCUUGCACAACCCACAUUCGAAAACUACCCUUACGAGGUCUCUGUAGUUUAUCAGAAUUUUAUCCCUGGUAGACCAACAAGUCCAAAGCUUCUCAAAAGCCUCUGGUACUUUGAUGAUGUUGAACGUUUCAAAUCUAACAUCAAAACACACAAUUAUAGAAUUAACCCUGGAAUCUAUGUCCCUCCUACAGCCCCCGUAGUAAAUGGUCCCGUUCAUAUACAUCCCCUUGAUCCGAACAAAAUGUUAAAACUGGUCUAGCAAACCUUAACUUGAACCUAACUAAAGUCGGUAAUCAUUUUUUUCAUGAUUUUCGGGUAUUUUAAUCAUAAAUCUGGAUUUCAAAUCUUCAAAAUAAGAAAGGUAAAUCAAAAAACAAUCAUGGCUAGAGGCCUAGAGCCUAGAGUCAUUAAUUGAUAGAAGAUUCAAACGAAAGUGGGAAGAAAGAAGACCGAACCAAGUUUAAGAACAAAGUACACAAACAACACACCAUAAAGUCUAAAAGGAUCAAAGAGUUGUCAACAAUACAAGCACUAAAAACCUGCAACUGGUAGUUGAGGUUUUCAUUUUCAAAAGAAAAAGAAAAUAAAAUAAAAAACAGAUGAGCAUAUGACUAAUUUGGUUUCUGGUUAAAGGGGGUACGUACAAUUAGUACUCCUCCUGUUGGUAUUCUCCUUCUUCUUCCUCAUCCUCCUCGUACUCGCCUUCUUCAUCUGCAGUUGCGUCUUGGUAUUGCUGGUACUCUGAAACAAGGUCGUUCAUGUUGCUCUCUGCUUCUGUGAACUCCAUCUCGUCCAUUCCUUCACCUGUGUACCAAUGCAAGAAAGCCUUCCUCCUGAACAUAGCUGUGAACUGCUCACUCACACGCCUAAACAUCUCUUGUAUCGAUGUUGAGUUGCCAAUGAAAGUGGAGGCCAUCUUUAGACCAGUAGGUGGGAUGUCACAGACUGUUGAUUUGACAUUGUUUGGGAUCCACUCAACAAAGUAGGAAGAGUUCUUGUUCUGCACGUUCAGCAUCUGCUCGUCAACUUCUUUUGUGCUCAUCUUGCCACGGAACAUGGCUGAGGCUGUGAGGUAGCGUCCGUGUCUUGGGUCAGCAGCGCACAUCAUGUUCUUGGAGUCCCACAUUUGCUGGGUGAGCUCAGGGACUGUGAGGGAACGGUAUUGCUGAGACCCUCUUGAGGUGAGAGGAGCAAAACCCACCAUGAAGAAGUGAAGACGAGGGAAUGGGAUAAGAUUCACAGCAAGCUUACGGAGGUCAGAGUUGAGCUGACCAGGGAAUCUAAGACAGCAUGUAACACCAGACAUUGUAGCAGAUAUCAAAUGGUUCAGGUCACCAACUGCAGACAGAGAAGGAAGACGUAAAUGACAAAGAAAGUAUAAUGCCAAGAAGAUUAGAGAAUAGCGAUAAGGAUUUGUAAGUGGUGAUGUCACAGAUGCAGAUAACCAGGGAUCAAUUAGCAGAAUCAAUAACACAAAACACAUGAGGCAUAUUACAUAGGCAAAGAACAAACCACUGAAAAGGGUAACAUAACAAUUUCUGAUGCUAAAAUCAUAUUCACCAUCUAGACAAUCCAUAUCAACCAUACAAAAGAAGGCAUCUAGCUGAAUCAACUUAACUAGAACUUAGAAGAACAGCACCAAUGCGACCAUGAAUGAUAGAAGGACUUACAGCUAGGGGUAGUGAGUUUCAGAGUCCUGAAGCAAAUGUCGUACAAGGCCUCAUUGUCAAGAACCAUGCACUCAUCAGCAUUCUCAACAAGCUGGUGAACAGACAAAGUAGCGUUGUAAGGCUCAACAACAGUGUCAGAAACCUUAGGCGAAGGGAACACGGAGAAUGUAAGCAUCAUUCGAUCUGGGUACUCUUCACGGAUCUUGGAAAUCAGAAGCGUUCCCAUACCAGAUCCAGUUCCUCCUCCUAGUGAAUGACAAACCUGAAACCCUGCAAACCCAAAAUCCAACAGUUCAAAACCACAGUAUCACCAAAAACACUUGAACGAAAGCAAAAUCAGCACCAGAUCUAGCGGAAUUAUUAGUACCUUGGAGACAAUCGCAGUUCUCAGCUUCUUUGCGAACAACAUCGAGUACGGAAUCAAUGAGCUCAGCUCCUUCGGUGUAAUGACCCUUAGCCCAGUUGUUACCAGCACCAGACUGACCGAAAACGAAGUUAUCAGGACGGAAGGUCUGACCAUAGGGACCAGAUCUGAGACUAUCCAUGGUUCCAGGCUCCAGAUCCAUAAGCACAGCACGAGGAACGAAUCGACCACAGCUAGCUUCGUUGUAGUAGACAUUGAUACGCUCGAGUUGCAGAUCUGAGUCUCCGGUGUACCUACCGGUUGGAUCUAUGCCGUGUUCGGCGCAAACCACUUCCCAGAACUUGGCACCGAUCUGGUUACCACAUUGACCACCUUGGAUGUGAAGGAUCUCACGCAUUUUCACAAGUAGGAAGCGGAGGAACAGAGAUUGAAAUCUCGAGGAAGAAGGAGCGGGAUUUAGGGUUUUUUUGGAAAAUGUGAAGAAGAGUGAGUGACUAAAGUAAGAAGAGGACUGAUUUUAUAUAGAAUGAGUUAACGGAUUUAUUCUUUUUUAUUUAUUUAUUUUUAGUUUGAUAUUGUGUUGAUUUUUUUUCAUUCGAAAUUUAAAAAAUGGGACGUUUCUUUUUUUUUUGUUCGUCAGGAGCGUUUCUUACUUAAAAAAAUGGAUUAUUAUUACCUCAAAAUUAAAAAUGUAUCAUAACAUUAAAAUAUUUUCGAUGAAAAUGCCCAUAUUUCUCUAUAUUGUAAUUUGAGGAUAUUAUUUUAUAUAGUGACUAUAGAAAUUGGAAACGACAGCGUUCAUGUGGUGUAAGAGAUAAAAUGACACCGAGUAGAGGGGGCAGGAUCACGUGACGAAUCCCAUGUAACACGAAACAUUAAUUGUUUAUGAGUAUGAUAAAAGUGUACGUUUCUACUAAUUGUGUGUGUGUUUUUUUUUUAAAAAUUAUAUAUGAAGAGAAUUGUUUUUCGAGCCAUGUUUUGUGAGAUUACACAAUCUCAGAUAAUGGGAAUUUUUUUUGGUGGCAUAAACGUCUACCAUAGCUGAUCAUGGGGAUUUUUUGAUGUGUAUAUGUUUCAUGCUUCUUCGAGGAGCCUUUUGUGGCCUGCGCUACUGAGUUUUACUCUGCUGAAGCAAUGCAACUCUAUAUGAGGACUUUCCCGAGUACUUACUUGAAGGUUGCAUCAAGAGAAGGUAUACUACAAACACCUCUACCUUUUUAGAGAGUUCAAGGAUUCGUUGAUUGAAGCUGUUGAGAAAACACUUCUGAACAACUCUACUAUGUUAUGAAAGACUUACUUAGUACAUACCCGUUAGUUGUGGACCUGAGGUUGCUGCAGAAAUAAAAUAUUAUGUUGCGUACAUUUGUAUAACCGAUGUUUCUUUUGUAAGCUAAGAUCCAUUUAACAACUAAAUCAGAGUCAACACACACGAAAUAGUGUAAUAAUAAUAGAGAAAAUGGAGAAACGAAGAAGAGCACAUCAAACUCUUACAGUUAACUUGCACUGAAAAGACAUUGACCUGUGCUAUACAUAUAUACCAAGUUUCCAUGGAUGCUUCACGCUAUUAGAUUGCAUUCUAUAGGAGUUUCCAAGGCGACAUGUUAUAGACGCAGCAAAAAAAGGUAUGCAACACGGACAUGCUUUUUCUUUGCAAAAGUAUGCAAUAUUUGGAUUUAUACAGAUGAAGCAUUAUCUAUUUGCGUGUAAAAUCUUGUGUGGUUAUCGAUUUAACAAUGGUUCUUUAAGGUUGUGGUCCUUCAGUUGAGACUUGUUCUUUGGAAGGAAGCUUUGUCGCCAUGGACCGUAGUUCGUUCGCGAUAACAGUGAAGCUUGGCCUCUCUGAUGGUUCCGCAGACCAACAUCUCUCCAUCAGCAAUUUCCAGUCCAUGUCACAGAAGUCAGGAAUUGGUGGUCUUAGCGUAUUACUAACUAUACCACCUGAUUCGAAUGUUGGAUAAGGAAAAAAGAAAUCUCAAAUUUGAAACAAAGCAAAUCUGCACACAAGACUUAUGUAGGAAAAGGUUUCACCUAUGAUUGCCCCGUAGUGCAAGUCUGCGUAAGGUUCCUCACCCGUGAAAAGUUCCCAAAGCACAAUUCCAAAUGAAAACACAUCGACCUGUAGAGUCCAGAUUAAGGCAUCCGCUAGAGAGAAACAUACAUUAUAGAGAGUAGAGACAAAUAACCAAGCUGAUAAGAGUUGAUUAGUUCACAAACCUUUUCAGAAACAAGGCUACUGAUUCCAUUUAGAAGUUCUGGUGCCAUCCAUGGGAGUGUUCCCCGGACACCACCUGAUAUUAAUGUCUGACAUUUCACUUUCGAGAGACCCAAAUCUCCAACCUGAAAUGAUCACAAAUUUCUAUCAACAACUUAAAGGGGAAGAUAGCAAGUAAAACCAAGUGGAAUAAUUUUUAUAUGUUUCUUCUCUGACACCAGAGUGUGAACUCUAUUUAGAACUAAUGCUAAACCUUAUCUAUGUCCAUAAUGCUUUACAAAAAAAUCCAGAUAUUACUUAUAAGUUAUAAUCCUAAAUACCAUUACUUGAUUCCUCACCAUUGUCCCUUCUGAUCAGUAAUCUCGUGUUAGAGUUCGAUGCAGAUAGAUAAAAUUAUUCGAAGAGACAGAAAAUAUAACUUGAGUCAAUUGACCUUGCAAAUUGGGCGAUGAGGAUCUCUGAGAUUGACGAGUAGGUUGUCACUUUUAAGAUCAAAGUGUACUAUAUUCUUUCCAUGCAAAUACUCCAUCCCAAACGCAAUGUCCAUCGCGAUCAGCAGGCGUUUGCACCUAUCAAGAUUCCUGAAAAUGAACCAUAACAAUUAAUGUCAUUCUUCUAUAAUGAAUCUAUGUGUUAACAUAGGUCUGAGGAAUGUAUACAUACGAUACCUGACAUUCUUCUGCAAUGCAUUUCGUAAAGAACCAUUAACCAUAUACUCUGUAACCGUUGCCACAGAACCUCCAGGUGAAUCCAGCACAACCCCAUAAAAAGCAACGACGUUAGGAUGAUGCAAGCCAGCUAGGUUCUGUGCCUCGUUCCAAAAGUCAUCGAUCUGAUAAUUUGUAGAUAAAAUAGACAUAAUUAUAACCUAUUCAACAUAUGUAAACAUGUGUUUUAAUGCAUCAUCAGCUGUACUGAGACAAACCAUUCGUUCUUGCUCAGAUGGUUUGCCAGCAAAACAUCGAUCAUUGAUCCGUUUGAUUGCAACAUCAGUGCCUCGCCAUUUCCCAUGAUAAACUGUCCCAAAUGUGCCAGAUCCUAGUUCUCGCAGUUCCUCAAGGUCGCUGUCCUUUAUAAUCUAUCAAAAUAUAGCAUAUGCGUGUCACAAUUCCUCAAGGUCGCUGUCCUUUUUAAUAUAAUCUAUCUAAAUAGAAUAUAUGAUUUACUCGUUUGUUAGUGAAAAUAAGUGAAUUAAGAACAAGGUGUCAAACCUGCAACUGAUCCAGAGAAUCAGAACCAGAACAUCCUAAAUUCAACCUUUCGACAAGUUGGUUCCUGAUAUCCUGAAAAAUAAUAAUAAAAAAUUCAUCAAUUCUGAAGCAAUAUGAAAUAUACGGAAAGGAAUGACCACAACAGUGAACUGCAUACAACGGACCUUGAAGUGUGUGGACUGCUGCUUCACUUCAUCAUUACGUGAAAAUUCUCCUUUAUCAGAAGCAUACUCAUCCAUGUUGAUGGGAGGUUCAUUAUAUGAAUGUGUACUUGACUGUAAAACAGCAGCAGCGACUCCUUCAGCAACAUUCUGAAGUUCUUGUUUGAUAUGCUCUUCCGCUAAGCCUUGUAGAGAGAAGCAAAGACCAAUCAACAGAUAAUCCUCAAGGAUAACUAUUUUAAAAAAGUAGAAAUGGAGUCAUGUAUAACACAAAAGACCACCUUUGGAAGAACUAAGUAGGUUAGGCUUGGUAAUGGUAUUAUUCUUUGGGUCAGUUUGCAAAUUCCAUGGGUCCUGGUUGCUAAAAAAUGACGUUGAUGAUUCUUUGUGGUCUGCACCACCAACACUAGAUGAUAAGGAUGAUGGUAAAUUGGCAGCAUCAGGAUUUGAUGAUAAUGAUGAUGGUAAAAUAGCAGCAUCAAAGGCAUGUUCAACAGUGCCAUUAGCGGGGUUGCAGGACUCUGCUUCCAAAGAAUCGAACUGCUGACCUCCAACCAAUGGCUGUACGAGCAAACCAGGAUUACGUAACAAGGGUGACUGUAUUGGCGCACAUGAUGUCUUAGGCUGAUAUUCAUGGCCUGGAAGAACAACCCUUGUUAGCGUCUCACUUGAGUCAGUGUGAUCUAUGUUUGGACUUACUGGAGAUUGACCAGAGGUGUCAUUUGAGAACAUAUUCGUCCUUGCCGUUUGUUGGAAACUGAUACCCAUAAUAUCUUCAUUUCCAAUUUGUCCAAGUGGUGAGACGAAAUUCUGACAAUUGGUAUAUGUUUCAGGAGCAUGUAUGUGAACAUUAUCCAUCAAUCCACUUAGUUGGUGUUGGCCAUAUGCUACUGAAGGUUCUACAGGAUUUUGCUGUUGUCUAGAUACUUGAACUUUUAUCGGAACAUCUCUAACAAUCUCGUUGAGUAGAGGUUCAGUUUUCUCGGCCUGACCUGUCAAAACAUUAGAAAUAUGUAGAGCAUCUCUUUCUUGACCAUUAGAAUUAUUGAGGAAACUUUGUUGACCCAUAAACUUAUCCGCCUGUUGGAUUUUGACGAUAUCAUCUGGACGAGAAGCAUGGUAAGAUGAGCUCACAUAUGGUACAAACAUUGUAGAGCCAUCAUUCCUCUCCUGUAUAAUGGGAUCAGAAUGCAUAUGAGGCAAAGAUGUCUGACACAUUUGACAGUCAUCCACCCUUCGGAAACUUUCAGGCAUAAUUACUUGUUGAUGCAAAACUCCGUCGGGAUUAGCAACAUGGUCAGAUGGUGGAACCUGAUUCCCACCAUAACCGCUAGUUGGUAUACCAUGAGCAAUCGAACCUUGAUAUGCAGAGUAUCUCGGGUCUGUAGGAAGCGGGACUAAAUUUUGAAUCCUGACAUUUCUUUCAGAAGGAAAGUUCCCCAACAGGCUUUCUUGGGGUCGCAUUGCCGGGUUGAUCAAAACUGGUGUGGCAUCAAUCUGAGCAUUCAAAGGAGCCAUUGACAUGUGAGCAGGAGGAAGGAAUUGGUGGGAUGAAGCAUUCAAAGUACUUCCUUGAAAAGGUUGUUGGGAGAACAAAGAAGUAGUACUUGGCAAAAGCUGGUUAGGUGAAUGAACAGAUUCUGGUUGUCUUAAGACUUCUAGGCGAGAUUCAACAAACGACGGUGAAUGAUGUUCACAUGGCGUAGUUAUGGGUAGCUGAUGGAUCUUACCAGCUAUUGCUUUCUCUGAAGCAGUCUCGACCUGAGAAGAAUGAAACGGAUCAGCUGGAACAGUCAUUGGUACAACAUAAGCAGACGAACGCUGAUCAAGAGGAACAAGUCUUUGCACAGUAUUCUGAUAAGUGUGAGGUGAAAAGGCACACGAGGUCUGGUUUGCAACAAAAUCACUCUGACCAAGGCCCAAGCUGUCAACAACAUCCACUCCACCAAAAUCAGAAUUCGGAUUAGAACCACCACUAGCUACACUUUCCUUACUCGCAACUCCACCAACAACAACACCAUUCACAGCCUCUACAAACCUCUGCCCAAUGUCAACUCCAUCUCCAUACUGUGCAACUCCAAAAGAAUCAUCAACCUCAGACGAAGCAGCGUCAAACAAAAACACUCUCAACUUCCCAGACCCAUCUGAAGAUCUCUCAACCAACUUUUCAAACUCUUCCAUCAUAUUAUCAAUAUCCUCACUACACGAAACAGAGACCAAAGCAUCAAGAUCCUCAUCAGGAAGCUGGUACUUGAUAACAACAGGCUGACCAUAAACCUCUAUCAUCUUUUGCUCAAACUCAUCAAAUCUCACACUUUUUUUAAUAGUAAUGAUCCUUGUCUGACCACCAACGUAUCGUAACACCCCAUCGCUUGGUCUAGGCAUUAUUUUUCCAUUGUAGCUACACAAAAACUUCAACUUUUCCCCAUCCUCUUCACUAUCCAUAUCACUACUUUUAAUUCCAAUACUUGGAUUGUUCGUAUCUAUACUCCACUGUUCACUACCGUUGUUACCUUGACUGAACCCAAACCCAGUAGUAAUUUCAUCAGAGACACGCUUAUUACCCAAAUCAAAACCAUAAUCUAACACAGAAUCAUAGAGUUUGGCCGGACUUGAGCUACUGGGUUCAUGUGCCAUUGUUUAUAAACCCGAAUUAGAAGCAGCGACACAGAUAGAGUUGAUUUCGCUCUCACCUGGUCAAUCUCCUGGUCGUCGACGCGUUCAAGUAAGAAACAAAGAAUCCUAUUCGGGAAGAGCGAGAGAGAGAAGAAGAUGAAAGAGGAGGCAAAGGAAGUCGUUGGAAUUGAUAAAACGACGACGCUUGUUCUCUGGACUCUGGAGUAUCAAACUCCAACUUGAAUAUUCUCAGUUAUGGAGUUUUUAGUUUCUCGGGAAAAAAAUUUAAAAGGGUAACACGUGAGAGAGUGAAGAGAGAUGAGAAGCGGCACGUGGUCUGGCUCUCGCCUCAUGCAAAAGCAAAAUAAAUGGGUUGCGUUUGUUUUCCAAAACUGUGUCAGAGAAAGUGUGAUGCUCCAACUCCAACACUCGAAAUGUUUUUUUAAUAUAUAUUUUUUUAAUUAUUUAUCUUUUCCAAAUUCCUAAAUCCAAACAAAAGUUUGAAAAAACUGUUUAUACACGCACUCACAAAUUCACAAUCACAAAAAAAAAAACAAAAGGAAAAAAGAAAGAUGAAAUCGUAUGAAAGAAAUUGUCAAAACUUGGAUCAUUCUCGUUGCCUUAUCCAAACAUGUAAAAAUAUACGACCCGAAUACAACUGAGUUAUUUGGGUCUUGUAUCCCAAUAUGGGCCGAAAUAACUAAAAUUCAAAUCUUUUCGGGCUUAACAAAUAAAUAAAUAAUAAAAAAUGCGUCUGCCGGGAGUCGAACCCGGGUCUAUUGCUUGGAAGGCAAUUAUCCUAACCGUUGGACUACAGACGCUUUUUGUUUACUUAUUUGACUUCCAACUAUAUAACACAAAUAAAUUAAAUACAUAACAGAAUUUAACAAAAAGCAUGUCACUGAGUCACUGACGUUGACAGAUAUCCAAUAAAACGAGACCGUUUUAUACAUCGUCCGUGUUUUCCUUCUUUGACCAAAACAAAAUUCUGAAGAAUUUGUCUUUCGGUUUUAUAAUAUUUCUGGAAACUUUUCAAUACAAAUUUCCUCUCUUUGAAGCAAAAAAAAAAAAAAAAAAGUCACAAAUUCGAAACUUCCUCGUCUUUCUUGUUAUCAUUGAAAGCUUUCGAUUUCUCCGUUGAUUUUUUCUCCUUUCACAAAAUCUAUUUAGCCGGAUUCUGAUUCCUGUUUCUCUCCGAGCUUCACGAAUCAUCGUUUUGUUUCUGUUUUUUUUUUUGAAAAAUUUCGUGUUUCAGGUACGUUCUCCAUUUUUUUUUUCAUGUUUUGUUUUAUUUUUUCUGAUUCAUCAAUCGUUUCUAAAUAUAGUUGUUGUUUCUUUGAUUCGGUUUGAUUUCUAUCAGGAAGAAGCGAUAUAGUUGUUGGUGCAAUCAAUCAAUUCCGAAUUUUGCUUCCGGCGAAUUUUUGGGGUGAUGAUGUGUUCAUCACUCUAGGAUUGGGAGAAUUAUUUUUGAUUUUAAGUUUUGAUUCCUAGGAGUUGUGGAUUUAAUGGUUGAGGAUAUAUAUGGUGUGUUUCUUCAAUGGAUGUGAAGACGAGGUUGUUUUUGCUGUUGUUGGAGAUUGCUACUCAUGCUUGAUUAGAGUUUCUUAUUUUUUACAAGUUUUAAGUGCUUUGAGAGCUUUCUUGUGAAUUUGGUUGAGGGGGCUGAUAAUUCAAACAUGGAUGGAGAGGUUACUUCUUGGAUUAGGAGAGCUAAUUUCUCUCACACUGUUUGUUAUCGUAUGGUUAUCCCAAGCUUAGAGUCAAAUCCAGAUAGGACUUCUGGAUUGAAAAGAAUGCCUCUGAGUUCACCAGCUGAUUUGAAAUCACUUGUAGGAAUUUCACAUGCCACGACAACGCAGAAGCUGAGUUCGCGUUGUAGUAGUGUUGUUGGUACUGAGAUACAGAGAAAUCCAGUCACUAAUAAGAAGAGGUCUGUUUCUCCGUCGCCUCAUAUGGCUCUUCCCGAUUCUUUUCGGGAAGCAAAGUCUGAUAUUAAGAGGUUUUCUACUCCACAUCCUAGAAGAAUAGAAUCAGAGAAGGGAAUUAAGGCCAAGUUUUCGGGCAAGGAUUCUUUUGAGAACAAAUCGUUUAAUCUGCGGCCUUUAUCACACUCUGGUCCUAUUAGGGAUCUUAGUACUCUGAAAAUUCAAGACAAGGCAAAGAGCAAGAUAGAAAAGAGGUCUUCAAAGUCUGUUGAUUAUAGAGGUUCUAAAGUAAGUUCUGCGGGAGUGCUUGAAGAAUACCUCAUUGAUGCGUCUAAGGUGUCUUACGGGGACAAGUUUACGCAUGGGGUAUAUAGCCAGCUUUACCAUGGAGAAUACGAAGGCAAAGCUGUUGCUCUGAAGAUUAUCACUGCGCCUGACAAUAGCGACGCCAGAUUCUUGGGAGCUCGCUUAGAAAAACAGUUUACCAUGGAAGCCACACUUUUAUCUCGACUAAGCCAUCCGAACAUUGUUAAGGUGAUUUAUUAUGUUAUGUUAUGUCGGUUUGGUUGUAUGAAAUAUGAGUUAUGCCUUUGGCGUGGUUAUUUUCAUUUGAAAACUGGAAGACACAUCUUCCAACUCUUUGAUAAUUAUGAGUAUGGUUUGUUUGACUUUUCUUCUGAUUGAUGAUGUCCUGAAACAGUUUGUGGGAGUCAAUACUGGAAACUGUAUCAUCACAGAGUAUGUGCCUCGAGGGUCUUUAAGAUCAUAUUUGCAUAAGCUCGAGCAAAAAUCCCUUCCUUUGCAACAGCUAAUCGAGUUUGGUCUAGAUAUUGCAAGAGGAAUGGAAUACAUUCACUCAAGAGAGAUAGUUCAUCGGGAUCUUAAACCAGAGAACGUGUUGAUCGAAAAAGACUUCCACUUGAAGAUUGCUGACUUUGGCAUAGCGUGCGAGGAAGAGUACUGUGAUGUUUUGGGCGAUAACACAGGAACUUAUAGGUGGAUGGCACCUGAAGUGAUAAGACGGAUACCACAUGGAAGGAAGUGCGAUGUUUAUAGCUUUGGACUUAUUUUAUGGGAGAUGGUAGCUGGAGCAGUUCCAUAUGAGGAGAUGACUCCUGUCCAAGCUGCUUUCGCAGUCAUGCAUAAGGUAAUUCAUUUUACAUCUCCUGCUUAUUUCGUGAUUGUGAUUGUCCAUAGAUCGAAUAGCUUCUAGUCUUUCUCUUGAUUUGAUCUGAUAUUUUUGUGUUGAUAUUGGUCAGAACGCUAGGCCAGUUAUACCUACAGAUUGUCCAGCUGCCAUGAAAGAGCUGAUCGAGCUAUGUUGGUCGUUGCAAACAGACAAGAGACCAGAAUUCUGGCAGAUUGUCAAAGUGUUGGAACAGUUUAAGAAAUCUCUGACAAGCGAAGGAAGACUCAACCUUUUGCCGAGCCAAAUCUGUCCAGAACUAAAGAAAGGUCACAAAUUCUGGAUUCACAAAUUGGGAUCUUCAAUCCACCACCACAGCGGUGGCGGCAGAAGCAGCCACACCUUAGGCUCAGCCUUGCCUAAGCCUAAAUUCGCCUGAAAGACUCUUUGUCAUCCUCAUUUUUUUUUGUCUAUAGGAAAAAAAAGAGCCAGUGGUUAUGUUUUUGUGUUUAAUCAACUGUCUCCGUUUUACUCUUGAUUGAUAGGGGUGGGCAAAAUACCCGUACCCGAAACCCGAACCCGACCCGAUGUAACCAGUUUGGGUUGGGUAUAUUUCAUACCAAAUAUCCGGUUGGAUGUUUAUAAUAAAUAAAUUGGGUACCCGAACCCGAUCGGGUAUAUCCGAACACCCAAAUAAAUACCCGAAAUCAUCCAAUGUUAUAUAAUAUAUGUUAGGAUCUUUGUAUAAUAUCGAUUCUUGCCUUUCUUCUAACCUCUAAAUCUCUUGAUUCUCUCUAUGAUGUCAUUUGAUGUUUCAGGAACUCAAGAGCUUUUCGGUUUUAUGAACUUGUUGUUUUUGUGUUUGGAAUGUUUUUUUUAUGAAUUCAAUUUAGUUUGGUAAUGUUGGCUUAUUUUAUAUUGAUGAUUACAAUCAGUUUAUUUUAGCUUGGUACUUUUGUUACAAUCAAUUUUAAUGACUUUAGAUUGAUUUCAAUUUUUUAUUGUCAGUUUGGAUUGAUUUCGCUUUUUUUAGCUUUAGUUCGGGUUUAAAAAUUACAAAUCCUAUCCUAACUCGAAAAAUAUUUCGAGGUUUUGGGUAUAACCCGAAAACACCCAAACCCGAUGGGUGUUUACCCGAACCCGACCCGAUCUUUAAAUAUACCCAAUUAGGUGUUAUUUCUCCAUACCCGAAGACCCGAAAAACCCGAAAAACCCGACCCGAACCCGAAUGGUUACCCGAACGCCCACCCCUACUUGAUUCAUUGAGCACUCCAUUAGACAGAGCUCCUUACAGAGUUGGCUUGGUUUUUGUGAAGUCAUCUCUUAUAUUUUCUUGCAGUGAGAGUUUUGUUUUGAUAAGAUAGUCUUAAAUAGAUAAACCAAAGAGAGAGAUAUUACAGCCAUGCCCACAAACUGUUCGACGAAAUAACCCUAAAUUAAAACUAAGACACAUACUUAAAACGAAGCUUCUUCAAACACCAGUAGAGCCAAAGCCACCUUCACCACGAACAGUAUCAUCCAAAUCUUCAACCUCCACAACAUCAGGAGUCACAAUCUUCUCGAUAAUCAACUGCGCGAUUCGAUCACCCAACUUCACAUCGAACUCAACAUCAGAAUGAUUAAACAAAAUCACACCAACGGGUCCUCUGUAAUCAGCAUCAAUCACACCAGCUCCAACAUCGAUCGAAUGUUUCCAAGCCAAACCAGAUCUCGGAGCUAUUCUUGCGUAUGUUCCUUCUGGUACAGCGAUGCAGAGAUCCGUCGGGAUUAGCGCUUUGCCUCUCGCCGGAACUUUAGAAUCCACCGCGCUUGAGAGAUCGUAUCCAGCGGAGAGAGAUGAGCCUCUUGUUGGUAAAACAGCUUUCUCGGAGAUUUUCUUCACUUUGAAGAAAGGUGAUGAAGAUUCGCCAUGGAUUCCGUUUCGAUCGAGCUUUUGGAGUUUUGGUGACGGUUCGGUGACGGCAUCGGAACUGUUGUUGAUCUUCGUCUCGACACAGGCCAUUGUUGAAAUUGGGAAACGAAGUGAGGUGAAUCGUUUGGUCAAGGAGUUGCAGAGAAACCCUAAUUUCAAUUGAGGUCGAGUUGUUGUUGUGGGGAUGAUGAAGAGCCGUCGUAGCUCCGCCAUAAAUGGAGUGAGUGAGUGAGAGUGGCGCCAAAUUUUCCCUCCACCCUAAGAGAACUUGUAAAUUCAAUGGGCUUUUAAGUUUUAACCAAUUUAUGUAUUUCUCGGCCCAAUAGGCUCAAUAGGCCCAAUAAUAGAGGACCGUUUCUAAAUUGUUAAUGAUUUUUUUUAAUUCUUCUUCCUCAUAAACCCUAAUAUCAUUUUUCACUAAUCGAUUCACUGGUUCUUUGAGCUUUGUUAUUGUCAUGUUUUCUCUGAUACUCCAUGGAAGAAGGUCUGUGGAAUUGCAGAAAUGGCGUAGCUUAAGAGUUACUACAGUGAGCAUUGUGCAAAAUGUAUUCGCUUUUACCAACUCGUUCUCCACUCCAAUAGCUAAGGAUGUGAGUCCUCAAGGGAGUAGUAAUUUUACUGUAUCGUAUCUGGUUGAUACAUUGGGUUUAACUACAAGACUAGCUGAAUCGAUCUCAAGGAAGGUCAGCUUUAAGGACAAGGUAAAUGCGGAUUCAGUUCUGAAGCUUCUUAGAAGUAAUGGGUUUAAAGAUUCUCAGGUCUCCAUGAUUAUUAGGACUUACCCACAAUUGCUUGUUACAGAUGCUGAGAAAUCUCUUCUUCCUAAGCUCCAGAUUCUGCAGUCUAGAGGAGCUUCAAGAUCUGAGGUAACAGAGAUUGUUUCGAUUGUUCCGGCAAUCCUGGGGAAGAAAGGGGAGAAAUCUAUUAGCUUAUACUAUGAUUUUGUCAAGGACAUUAUGCAAGAUGGUAAGAGUUCCAAGUGUGAAAAGUUGUGUCAUUCUUGGCCAGAGGGUAAGAGCAAGAACAAGAUCCGAAAUAUAUCUCUUUUAAGAGAAUUGGGAGUGCCUCACAAGUUGUUAUUUUCAUUGCUCAUCAGUAAUUCUCAACCUGUUUAUGGUAAAGAGAGAUUUGAAGAAACACUCAAGAAAGUUGUUGAUAUGGGUUUUGAUCCGGCCAAAUCAAAAUUUGUGGAAGCUUUGCGUGUCGUCUACGAAAUGAGCGAUAAAACCAUAGAAGAGAAAGUAAAUGUCUAUAAAGGGUUAGGCUUUAGUGAAGCAGAGGUAUGGGCAAUUUUCAAGAAGUGGCCUUUCUUUUUGAAAUUCUCGGAGAAGAAGAUUACUCAGAUGUUUGAAACACUUAAGAAGUGUGGUCUGUUGGAGAAAGAGGUCCUUUCGGUGUUGAAGACUCGUCCACAAUGCAUACGAGCUUCAGAGCAGAAGAUAUUGGACUCUAUUCAAACGUUUCUAGACUUGGGAUUCAGCAGAGAUGAGUUCAGGAUGAUGGUUAAGCGAUAUCCCCACUGCACUGGAUAUUCAGCAGCGCUGGUGAAGAAGAAGUUUGACUUUUUAGUGAAGAAGAUGAAUUGGCCACUAGAGGCUGUGGUUUUGAUUCCUGCGGUACUUGGAUAUAGCCUGGAGAAAAGGAUUAUGCCAAGGUGUAAUGUAAUCAAAGCUCUCAUGUCGAAAAGAUUGAUCGGAAGUGAAAACCCUCCGAUUUCAUCAGUCUUGGUAUGUACUGAUCAGGAGUUCUUGAACAGAUACGUGAUGAAGCAUAACGAGCUAGUUCCUAAGCUGAUGGCUAUCUUCACGAGAUAUCAGGUUUCAUAGUUUUGUUUUCAUGUACGAGUCUGUAUCUGAAACCCAUUUUUGUAGUCUCAAUUGGACGUGGAUCUGACUGGUUUUUAAAAUACAAUCCUAUUGGGGAAAUGAGUUUUACCAUUAUAAGAAAUUGCAAUAAUCGUAAGAAAAAACUUUGAUCCAACCACUAUAUUGGUUCGAAAAGCUGCAUUACAGAUUCUGCAGGAGUUUAAGACAUGGUCAGACAACAAAUCAACAUUGUUGAAAGUGUUAAAUGGAAUUGAAUUUCAGGUUAUGUGACAAGCAUCUCUGGUCAGUUUCCUAAUCAAAUCUUACACUCCAGUAACAUACAGACUAGCUGCAAAGACUAUGUCACGUUUUAUAGCAUUCGAAGCUAAAUCCAUUUUCUUGUGUAAUGCCGAGUUCCCCAUAAUGGCAGCAGCGUUCUUGAACUCACGGCAUGUCUCGUCCAAUCUCACAAUGGUCCGAACUAUCAGACCUUCAGGGACAUCCGUCAGUUCACAUAUCUCUGCAAAUGGAGUCCCCUGCAAAAAUCAAGCAUACAAUAUGUUUAAGAGAUGUAUGAAUCGUGCAAUGUAUAAUAAGAUACCUUGCUUUCUAGCUACAAACCUUUGCCCACUCAUAGACGACUUCAACUAGACCAAAUUUGAGAUUCUCCUGGGCAUAUUCUUCAGGGUCUAUUUGUAAGUUGUACUGAGCUUGAAGUUCACCAAGUCUGAUUGCUGUAUCAUAGAGUCUAUGCAAAAGAGGGUCAAUGAUUAUAUCAGAUCGAUCAGAUCAGAUCAAAUGCUGUUUAUAGUUAUGAGAAAGAGUGGUCGUAACAAACCUUUGUUUAGCUUUGGCUAGCUUAGGAGUAAGCAAAGGCGCUGAAGUGUUUUUCUGUUGGAAGACAAAGGCAGACAUUAUAGCCACUGCUUCUUCCGGUUCUAAUUCUUCGAACUGAUUCUCAAACAGACACACUGUGCAUAUCAGUUCUUCCCCAGAAUUCAUCUCGCAAGCGACACGGCCUUUGAUUUGGACAACGAGGUCAUCAUCUAUACACCCAAUUUCCUUCAGAACAUCGAUCUGCAAGAAGAGGUUUGAACUCUACAUGUUACUCUAAAUUAUCAUACAUAAGAGUAAACAAAGUUGCUUUUGGAAUUUCUCAUUUGAAUGUACCCGGCCCUGAAACGCAGGCAUCUGUAAUAAGGCUUCAUCGGACAUUUGAAAUUCUAGAUCUUUGAGGUCCGUCUUAUGCUUCUUAAUGUCCCUAGCUAACUUCAUGUGCUCUUCCAAUUUGACACAGCCGUGGCAUUUAUUCAUGGACAUCUUUUGCAACAGGCGGGUCCAUUUAUAGUACGUCUCCACAAGCUCGGCAUCUUUCAGCUUCAAAUCUGAAAUGGAAUCAUGAAAUGAACUUUAUAGGGGAAAUGAAUUUGCAGCCGAAAAACACGAAACAGGCCUAUAAUUUAGUUAAAAAACCUUUUAUCGGGUCUAGAGCAGGAGGAAACUUGUUUCCAUCUGCUUUCAGAUCCAAAAGCUGUUGAACUGUCUGAGAAAAAGCUGCCUUGUUCCCGUCCUCGAGUAGACGCACCGGAUCAAUCUUUAUCUUGCUAUCGCAUAUGCACAAGAAUUCUUUGUUAUCAAACCCUUUAACCUCGUAACCUACACCAGCAGCGGCUCCAUGGUACGGGAGCUCUAUCUUGACCGAAACGGGACCUUUACGAGAGCUCGGCUUCGUAUAAAAUUCUUCUUCAAAACCACGUUUUGACUUGGGCGCAAUAAAAUAACCUUGAGAGGGAUCUGAGUUUUUCUUGCCAAUGCUGACCAUAUUUUUCUCUGGUGGCGGUAUUUCAGAUUUUAUUACCAAAACAAUAUAUUGUCUAUUAGUGUUGGAAGGUCCCUUCAGAACGACUCCAAGAAAAUUGUCUAUGCCCUGUACAAUUUACACACAUGAGCAACCGAUUAAUGAACCAGAGGAAAGAGAGGUGGAGACUGAGUCUUACCGUUUCAGAUUUCAUGACCACUACUCUUCCUUGUACAAGAAAAUUCUGGGCAUAAGGAGACUGCAUAACUCCUUCUGACAUCUUACUGUUAUAUGCGUUUGCUUCCAUAUACAUGUCAUAGUAAUCUUCAAUUGCCGGUUCACCUUUAAUACAUCUGGACGAAUAAAUCAAUAGGUUAAUUUUACAUCGAAGUAGAAUGUAGAGAGUGCAAAUAGCUGUGUAAUCCCUCUGAGUAUGAAAUUCAGUAUGUUUGGCCUAACUCUAUAUUUUUGAUUGGUUGAGAACGUUUUAUCAUGAGAAGCUGCUGUUUUUCGGGCAGUUUCUUCUGGGCAUGGAAUUCAGCAAAACUUCUUUUCAGCAUGUCCUCCACCUUACAUUUGAAAAUUGGCGAGUCAGAAAAUUCCAAGAGAAAGGCUAGUUAGCAAAACACAUGGCAGAUCAAUGGUCCAGACAUUUGAGAUACCUUCAAUUCUUCAACACGUAAAAGAUGGAGGAUCAUUAUGUAGGUUAGUCGGAACUGAGAUUCUAGUCUUGUUGCGCUCCCAACAAUUAUACGCCUCAGAUCACUCUCAUCUGGAACUUCAUCGCGACACAUUACAACAACUGUGCCAGUUUUGUCAAGUCCUCUUCUGCCAGCACGCCCUGCCAUUUGAGUGUACUCUCCAGGAAGCAAUUGUCUAAAUUCCUUGCCAUCAAACUUUCUCAAAGCAUCAAAAACGACCUGUAGCGCAUAUCGUGGAAUAGUAAGUUAUAGGUAAAUUUCAUAGAGAAUAUGCUUAUCAGUAUCCCCACAUUUGUUAAAAGGAAUUUGUAAACACUGGAGAUGUCAACAACUCUUCAUACCUUUGAUCCACACCUGCAAUAAACAUUGUAACACUGGAUUAAAAUCAGAAACAAUAUCAAAUUAGCCUCACCGUUCUGGCUGGAGCAUUAACCCCCAUCGCAAAUGUCUCUGUUGAAAACAGCACCUGCGGAAAGAUUACAAACAAAAGAUUGCCUGAAGCAAUUUAGACGACAAUGAUGUCCAUAAGGUAGUAACCAGAAGCAUGAAAAACAAUUAGCUUGAGCAUUGUAUUUAUCAUGUAGCCUCAUAUAAUUGCACAAGAAUAUUAGAGCCUGAAAUCUUAAACAUACCUUAAUAACACCACGGCAAAAAAGCAUUUCAACAACUUCCUUUACUAUUGGAAGCAGCCCAGCAUGAUGAACACCUAUUCCUCUAUGAAGUAAGCUUUGGACUCUGAGGACCUUUAAAAUGUGUCCCCCCCACAGUUCAUGAGUAGGAAAUCAGGCACCUCUUUGAAUUUAUAAUGAUAGAAACCAGGAAAUUUUAAGAUAGCCAACCUGAGGUAAAUUCCUAUCAGACCCUUUCAAUCUUGAAAAAGCUUUAUCGCAGAAGACACGGAUUUCACUUUUCUCAGAACCAGUAGUGAGGUCAGUCCCAGUCAAAGCGUCAGCACACCUAUCACAAUAAUUCUUUGAGAAACAGAAGACAACCACCUAAUGGGGAAGGAAACAUUAGAGGUUAGACAUAAUGACCAGAAAUGACAACACAUAAGACUAAAUAUAAGAAACAGAACCGACAUCUAACAUACAGGUAACAGGGAUUUUUUUGAGAGCUUGUUGAUAAGCAGUAACCAAUUUGAAGCUGCUGAUCGUCUAAAUGCCCCAUUGUUUUGACUGUUACCACUAUAAGAGGAUUUUGCUAAAUCUUUUGCACUUGAGUGUUUAUUCUGCUUGCCACGAGAAUGAGCCUCAUGUUUCUGGGAUUUGUUCCCAUCUUGAUGAGCAGAAGAUCCUGUAUGCUGUUUAGGAGCGACACUAACUGCAUUUGAAUUUUUCUUCUUUUGUGAAUCUUUAGCAUCCUUUAUUCCUUUAGGAAUAAAAACUUCAUUCUCACAAACUUUGUAGAGUUCUCCAGAAUAAAAUAGGCAAUGCUCUAGGGGAACUGGUCUUUUUGUCGUGCUGAUAACAGAACCCAUAAAAUUAAGAAAUUAAAACUUCACCAUCAACCAAUGAAUUAAAGGAACAAUAUUCUACCAGGACACAUUAAAUCUCACCCAGUAACACGAAUCUCUUUUUGUUUUGUUCUGCCAAUCCAAUCAGCAAAUUCAAAUGUGUUUGGCACCUAUAAGAAAAAUAUUCAUGUUAUAAGUUCAGGGGCACAUUGGGAAAAAGAAUGGAGAAUAAUGACUGAACCACGAAGCCAUAUCUAUCUCCAUAAAUUCUAAGAACUGGAGGGUUAGUUCAUUAUAAUCGCGGCCAACAGAGACCCGAACAAAAGAAAAAAAUCACAUAUUCCUUCCUUUCCAACUCAUCUUAUGUGAAAUUUCAUAGCCAAAUAUAGAUGCAUAGCAAACACAAAAACACCUGAAAAGAAGUAAGGUUUUCUAAUGAUGCACAUAAAAGCAUUAAGAAGUACCGUUGCAGAAAGAAGGACAAAAUUUAUAUGCCUUGGCAGCAUGAUGAUGACUUCUUCCCAAACAACCCCUCUCUCUACGUCAUUGACAUAGUGAACUUCAUCAAAUAUAACCUGCCAGUCAUACGAACGGUAACAAGGAAACAUGUUUUGAGUUUCACACAGAACUACAAAGGCUGCUUAGAAAUAGAGCGAUUUGAGCACAAUAUCAAACACAGAAGAAAGUAAAACAUAAGAAAUAUCUUUUACCCAUUCUAUAUCACGUAUGAUAUCAGCACCACGAUAAAGCAUUGACCUUAAUAUUUCCGUAGUCAUGAUCAGACAAGAUGCCUCUGGCCUUAUGCUAACAUCUCCAGUGAGAAGUCCGACAUCAAAUUUCCCACAAAAAUCUCUGUAUUUUUGGUUGCUGAUGGUUUUAAUUGGAGCAGUAUAAACAGCUCGUGUACAGUGCUGAACAUGGGAAAAUUGAUCAGCCAACAAAACAAGGAAUCUAAUAUACUAAUGCAGUUGAUGUUCUUCAGAAUUAUCUACCUUGGUGGCUAGAGCGAAUGCAUAUUCUGCAACAACUGUCUUCCCCGCUGAUGUAUGAGCUGCUACAAAAACAGACUCCCCCUUCUCUAGACAGCAUAUAGCCUGUAGGCAUAGGACACUUAGUUAUUAACCGAAAAUUCACAUAUAAAAGGUAACCAAGCACAUUCCUCAAAAGUCAUGCAAAUUUAAAAAGUACCUCCUUCUGAAAGUUGUCCAAUUCGAAAGGGAAUUCAAUUGCCAUGUCAGGAACAAGCUCAUAAAAUCGGUCAGCAAUGCCUUGGCUAUCUCCUUUAGUAGCCCAUCCCUAAUGCACCCCAAAUCAUGUUUAUGAGAGGGAAAAUGAAAUCUUAAAAUGCAGAAUCCACAUUCUUACCUCUUUCCGUAGUUGUUUAUCACUGUUCCCAGUAAUUGCCUCUUCCGUCAAUAUUGCUGUCUUUGCUGAUGACAGAAUCUCAUCCAGCACAGUGGCGUCAGUCUCUAUUCCCUUGCUGGCUUCAUUGCUUUUGGUUGCUUUAGCUUGAGGUUCAGCUUCUGCCUUUGGAGACUCAGAUUCAGCUGUAUGCUCAACAUGACAGUUUUGAAUAUCAGACAAACUAACCAAAAGUACGUCUAUAGAAGUUUAACAUGAGUGAUUAAACAACCAUCUCUCUCAAGUUCGGAAAAAGCAUCUUCUUCCCAUGCCUUCUUGAACAGAUCAUCAAACUGAAUAGACAACGUACUCUGGAGGUAUUGACAAUGCAAGGACAUUAAAAAAGAGUUAUUGCCACAAACAAAUAGAGAGUAACUUUAUGUAAACCAGUAACAUUGAUCUACAGACCGACUUUACAUCUGAAGCAUUGCCAUGUGAACUCUGAUCCUCAUAAACGUUCCAAGUUUGAGGAUAUGGCUUUAAAGUACAAAAUGAAAACAGAAAGAAUCAAUCAACAAUGAAUCAUAAAUGAAUUUACUAGGUACAAAAUUAGAUAGUUAUAUUAUAGGAUAACAUACCAUCAGAUCUCCAAGAUCUACACUCUGCUUAAAACUAGGAGGAACGGUUUGAACAGGACCCCCAUUGAGCAAUUCCUGUACCCAUUGGCCACUAGAGACACCCUCUGGAAGGAAUCUUUCUGAAGACUGUGAAUCCUCCAAGCCACCUGGACGGAAAGGGCGAUUAUUGACACUUCCUCUCAGAAAAUCCUUCGGAGGUCCCACCAUUCGUGGAAAAAAUCCAGAAUCUUGAUCUCCAUACAUUUGUUCCGACAAAUCCACCUAAGAUAAUAUGACAAUCCAUUCCUCCCACAAGAGUCAGAAACAGAAAGCUAAUAGCAGGUCAUUCUUCUACAGACAAAUUUUGACUCUCAGAGGAUACAGUAUAUCACUGUCUACAUGAACUAGUUUAAAGUGACAGAAAUGCGUUACCUCCACUGAUUUUGGCUCCCAUGCUCUGUUCUCAGUUUCCUUUUUUUGACGCCUGAAUGGCAACUCCCAAGUGGGAACCACAACGGACCUUGGCAAAGAGGGUUGAAGGGGCACCUUCACCCUGGAAAACCAAUCGAAAUCCCACUGAUUCUCAGCUUUUUCAGCAGAAAACUGAUCCGGUUCCAGUCUUGGUAGGAGAUAUUUUUCCUCAAUAUGUUUCUUUAUUGAUUCUUUUGUUUCCUUGGCAAAUGCAGGAGGCUGAGAAACACGCAUAUACACAAACAUAAAUGAAGCAUUUCAAAAGCCAUAAAGCUUUACUAAUAACCAAGACUUCAUCUCAUAAAAUUUCAAAACACAUCAUCAGUGUGAAAAUCUGAACAUGUAAGAGCAUCCACCAUUGGAUGCCUUUGUAAAAGUAUUCUGGAGUUGUUCAUGUCACUAAUAACUACCACUGAACAAGAAUUUCUAAAGAUUCAAACCUCUCACCACAUGAUAUUUUCAGAAACUUAGCUACUUUUGUUUCCGUUCUUCACCACAUAAUACCUGAUACAACCCUAACUAACUCUUCCCUAAUCAAGUAACCAGAUAGUCCAAUAAUACCACCAUAAUUUUCUUGUUCCAUUAGGAUUGUUGAGGGAAACACUGAGUAAGAAUCCAACUAAGACUUAGUCAACUACAAUACAGAAACAAACAACCUACGUUAUUCAAAAACACAGAGACGCACAGGUACUAGCAAAACGAACUAAUUGAGUAUAUCAAACGCAUCACAUUGCAUUAAGAAAACAAGUGCCUAAGCGAACCCAAUUUUGAAAGAGGUGAUCAAGUUCUCGCAACUAAAUAAAAAAGCUCACGGAUACGAAAUCGGGUAGUGAGUUCACGGCGUCGUCCCUCUCCGCCGUGUACAGAGGCUCAACGCGGAGGUGACCACCAUGACCGGAGAAUCCAACCCGGAAGGCGAGUUCGUUGCCUGCUUGGACUCUGCUCAUUGUGCUUUCUCCCUAUCGUUAAAUUCUUCGCAUUCCCUUUCCUCGCCGUCUCGAAGUAUUCUCAAACUUUUUCAGCGAUCGGUCUGGGAGGGCCCGGUGAAGGAAAGAACAACAAUUAGAUUUCUCUCCGGUUGAGUUCUGCGGCUAUGGAACACCGUGCCGUUUCAUUGCUACAAAUUAGGAAUGUAUGCUGUCUUCAUAUAUCUUAUUUUGGGCUCUGAUUUAGGCCCACACCUAACAAAAUAUGUAUUUUUUUUAAUUAGAAUUAUGAUCCAAUAAAAUUGAGAUUGAAAUCAAUAUAUUUGUUUGAAAAAGCAAGAGAUCAAUAUGUUUGAAAAAAAGAAAAAAAAAAAAAAAGAGAUAGAGAUCAAAUAUAAUUGAUCGUAUCAUAAAUUUUCAAUCUGUUUGAGUUCACCUUUAUAAAGUUUGAUUCACUUUUUUCAGUUUGAAUAAUUAAGUAUUUAUUAUUGAAUCAAAGACUUAGAACAAAGAUUGUAUUUUAUAAAGACUUCUUCUUUAUUGCUUUAGAAAAUUACUCAAAACUAAAGUUCUUACAAUCUCUCUCAAAACUCAUAGGUUAACCACACCUUGGCAACUCUAUAUAUAUAAGGAAAUCGGUAGGAUUAACUCUGGCCAUGAAUGUUUUGUAGUUUUUAAAUGGGUUUUAGCUUUUGGUUUUUGGUUUUUGGCUUUUGGUUUUUGAUUUUUUAGUUUUUGAUUUUUGCUGUAGAUUUUAUUGUUAGAAAGCUGAAAAAAAUAGUUUUUAGUUUUUAUGAAGGAAUUGAGCAAAUUUCACAAAAUCUGGUUUCCCUAAAUUUAAGGAAAUCUACUUUUAUAAGAAUUGUGAAUGGCAAUUUUUCUGGUUUUUUAGAAUCAAAAGCCAAAAACCAAUCAAAGAACUGCAGCCAUUUAAGGCCUCUAGCUUGCACCUCAAGCUUUCUUUAAUAUCUUCAAGCUUAGAUCAACAUUUAUCACUUCUUUAUAUGAAAAAAAAAAUAAUGAUUUGUAUAAGAAUGAAAAAAUUAUUUCAGUUUGUGGUAACUUGGUGAUUUGUCUUGCAAUAAUAGUCUAGCCAAGUCGAUCCAAUGUUUGUACUUGACUGAUCGUUAGGGAAUGAAGUCAUUCAAAUUUAAAAUUUCAUAAUGCAUUUCGUUGAUCGAAUUUUAUUAAAACAGAUCACGUAAAUCCAAAAUCAGAUUUAACAUUCACAUAUACAGUAUAUAGAACUGAGUCAAGCCACAAAGUACACAAUAGACAAUAAAUAUAGAAUUAAACUAAGGGUUUAAGAAACGGAAGAAACACAAUACAAUAAGAAAUUAAAAAAAAAAAUGAGGCGAAGCGAAGCGAAGCAAGUAAUUCGCAAAUAUUACGAAAAUAUUCGAAUAUUCGAAGUUCCGAAUACUCGAAAAUUUACGAAUCGAAGCAAAUAGCAAAAUCAACUAUUCGAUCGAAGCGAAGCAAAUAACAAAUAUCACAAAUUUUCCGAAUAUUCGCUUCGUGCCCAGGGCUAAUUGAUUGGGACAAAAAAAAUCAUUAAAACCAAAUACACAUUCAUAUAGCAGUUUACAGAACGUUUCCUUGAGCAAAAUCAAAAUAUUGCAAACUUCAUGAACUAUACAUACGAAAAGGUUCAUCAUUUAUUUCAUUUUGAUUAUACUCUUAUGAGAUCUUAUAUUAUAUAAUAUCGACUUUGGAGUUGUGUGGAAUUGGAGAUGUCUUGGUAAGGAAGGUCGGGUUUGCGCGAACGAUAUCAGGACUUAGGGAACAGGACAAGCCUCUAUGUUCCAAAUCUCUUUGGCAUACUGAGCUAUCGUACGGUCACUGCUAAACUUUCCUGAACCGGCUGUGCUCAAUAUCGACAUCUUCAGCCACCCCUUCCGGUCCCUGUCACAACACAUUAUGAAUCCAUUGUCACGUUAUAGAAUUUGAGUAUUCAUUCAGCUACUGUAAAAAAACCUAUGAAUAUAUGAGUUGAGUUUAAGAGAUGGUCUUACUUAUAAGCUUCAUCAACUUUGGCCUGAGCGUCCAUGUAGCUAGGGAAAUCAUACCCAACCAGGAAGUAAUCACCACGUCCAAAACCUGUGUUACCCUCAAGAGAAUCAAGGAGCGGACCAUAAUCGUAGGUCCCAAACACUCCACUUUUCACAAACUGCUUCGCCUCUUCAAACCGAGGAUCGGGUUUGAACUGAUAGUUUCCACAUGCACAUAAACAUUUCAUGUCAGAGAAAGUACAGAAGCAUUUCACUAAUAAGGCGCUUCAUGAAAAGGAGACUCGCAUUUGUUCCAGAGAGACAAAAAAUAUGCAAGGGAGAAAAGGAGAUAGUGACAUACCAGUCCGUCUUCUCUUUCUUUACGCAGUCGAGGGACCUGAUCAGCUGUUGCACCAAAAAGAAAGAAAUUUUCUUCGCCAACCUCCUCUCUUAUCUCAACAUUAGCCCCAUCAAGGGUUCCUAUGAUAAGGCAACCAUUAAGAGCGAAUUUCAUAUUGCUGGUACCACUUGCCUCCAUGCCUGCUGUGCUGAUGUGUUGAGAUAGCUCACUUCCAGGUAUAAGCAUCUCUGCUACAGUGACAUUGUAGUUUGGGACAAAUACCACCUAGAGAGGCAUAUUUGUUAAACCAGUUAAAAAUUUCUUCAAGCCAUGUUAGUGAAAAUAAAGGAGAAAAGCAAUUCAUUGCAUUUGCAUCGAAGUAGCAACAAUAAGAAAGCUUUGUUCUCGGAAAGGAGGCUUGAGUAGCAUUAAACUUAACCAAAAGAAACCAAGUUUAUCUUGAGAUAUGCAAACAUCUGAAUAUGGACAUUGACAGAUCAACAACAAACUCAAGCAAACAUCACUAUCACACAAUCAAACAAGCAUCGUGGUUAGCCAUCUCAAGUUACACGUGCAACAUUUUAUGAAGACUCAGAGCAAUUUUACCUUUAGGUAUUCGUUGACCUCUGGAUCGCUGUUAACAACGUCGCCCACAUCAUUCACUAGUUUCACUAUCCGUUUUGCAUUUGUAUAUGUUGCAAAUGCUUUACCCCCAAUCAUGACAGUACGAGGAACUGUUUUCUUCCUUUCCUCAGGUUUCAUCUCCUGUACCAUUCAACCGCAGAAAAGAAUGUCACACCAGAAAUACAUGCAUGACCUAAGCGAUGGUUUAUCAAUUUUUUUGGUUAAAGCAUCAAAAGCUGCCAAUGAAGCUUUAUGAGUUUUGGCUCGAACCAACAUUUAGAAAUCUCAUAAAAGUUUGGAAUUUUUUGCCAAAGGAAGGGGAGUACGCUGAAGUAUUUAACUUAUUUUUACUCGUUUAUAUAGCAUUAGGUCUACCAUAACUUUUCACGCAAAGGUAAAAACAUAGAUAAAUUACUAGGAAUCAUAAGGCAAAUCCAGAUAGAUGGGUAAGCCAACUAUACCUUUAACUUUUUGAAUCUGUAAAUUACUCCAAGAAUGUUCAUCAGCUGCCUCUUGUAUUCGUGGAUACGCUUAACUUGUAUGUCAAAUAAGCUUGUUGGAUCAAUACUCACGCCAGUUACACGCUCUAUAUACUGAGCCAAACGUUUCUUAUUGGCUGCCUUUGCAGAAGCCCAUUCAGAUUGGAGUUCUUCAUUGUCCGCAAACUAGCAGAAGAAGAGAUAACAUCAGAAUGACAACAUAAAAACCCAUCGCAACUCUGGUGCUCAAAAGGAUAAAAUCAGACCUGCCGAAGACCAGUAAGUAGGUCAAGAUCAGUGAUCCACUUGUCAGUCUUCAACCACUUUGUGAUUAUAUCACUGAGCUCAGGGCUGCAGAAACGUAACCACCUCCGAGGUGUGAUGCCAUUAGUCUUGUUUUGAAACUUGUUUGGCCAUAUAGAGACAUAGUCUGCGAAUAACUCAGCCUUCAAGAUAUCACUGUGUAAUUGAGCAACGCCAUUCACCUGCAAAAAGGCUCUCAUAAUGAGCACUUCAAACCAAGAAGACUAAAUGGGAUUUAGAAUCAAUAUAAUAUAAUUUUGACAGAGGGAUCACUUACUGUAUGCGAGGAUACAACACAUAAGUUAGCCAUUCUCACCACAGGCUUUUGUGGAUUGUUAUCUAAGAUGCUUAAACUUGAAAUCUUGUCCUCAAGAUCAACCCGUGUAUCACGAAUAGUUUUCACAAACUGCAGAAUGGUAAUACUCUAUUAGUAAGAGAAGACAGAAAAAAAAUCCUUAGAAUGAUCAGCAAAAUACCCUCUUAUCAAUCUCUGUUAUUAUUUCCAUAUGACGAGGAAGAAGCUUCCACAUCAAAGAUUGUGACCAUUUCUCCAAUGCUUCGGGAAGGACAGUGUGAUUGGUGUAAGCAACGGUCCUGCAAACCUUACAAGUAAGUCCAAACAGAAAGGUGGAAAAAAAACUGUUGGAAAUACUGAUUGGUUUCAUGCACAAAUGUAAUACCUCGAUGUCACAUCCCAAGCUUCAUCCCAUCCAAGUCCAUUUUCAUCCAUUAGCAAUCGCAUGAGCUCAGGGAUUGCAAGAGUUGGGUGUGUGUCAUUCAUUUGAACAGCAACUUUACUUGGAAAAUCUGACCAUUUUCGGCUGCCUUCGGUCGUACUCCUCUCAUGAAAUCUUGAUAUAAUAUCCUGCCAUAAGUUACCAUAUUGUGAAGAGGAAAUAUUAAUAAAAUUAUGCCAACAUGAAAUGUUUUCGUAUUUAUAUUUGCCCACGAUUAAUCAAUUACAUCCCAUUAUGACACCCAUCAGAGAGUCCUAAGUUGAUCCAAUACGUUAUGGCUUAAGAAUAUGAAGAAAAUGAAAGGAACCUACAACAAAAGUGACAAACCUGAAGCGAAGCACUGCAGAGAAAGAACUGUUGUUUUAAGCGUAAUAACUUCCCAUUCUCGGUAGCAUCUCCUGGAUAUAACACAGUGCAAAUCUGCAUAUAUAUUAAUUCAUUGUUAGAGAGAAACAGAAAGCCACAAAGCAAAAUAAGAUAGAGCAGUAGGUAAAAGAUAACGUGUUAUAACCUGUUGAGCUCGAGAAUGUAGCUGCGCAGCCAAUUCAUACUCUCCUUCAUUGAACUGAUAAAGAUCAAGAUCCUCCGCCCUAGCUUUUGCUUCCCAGAGACGGAGACUGAUUGUGUUCUUUGUGUUAUAUCCCGGGAUUGGCACGUCAUAAGCAAGAGCUUGUACAACAUCACCACCUACCCAUUUCCGUCUGCAAAAUAGUCAGUUGAUCAAUUGAAAUGCUUAAGAGCAAGCUCGGUGAAAAGUCAGAGAACACAUAGCAACACUCCUGGUGUAUACAUCCAUAGAAAUUUCAAGUACAGACAUAUGUUUAGUCAUUUAAGUUUCAACAUUGAAACUUACGAUCCAUCUGGGUUUACUUGCACACUGCCGAAAAAUCUGACAGGGAAUACUACGUCGUGCCUUACAAUUUCCCAUGGGCUGAACUUCUGCAAAUUCCCAUAAAAAUAGGAUGAGGUACAGUCUCAAAACCAUCGGUUGAUAUCACUACAUUGAUAAAAAUCACCUCAAGCCAGUCCUCUGGAAUCUCUUCUUGACCUUUCUGUGAGAUAAGUUGCUUGAACAGCCCAUGUCUGUACCUCAAACCAUAACCCCAAGCAGGCAAAUUUAGGGUGGCCAUCGAAUCCAAGAAACACGAGGCAAGUCUCCCCAACCCACCGUUCCCCAGAGCUGCAUCUUUCUCCUACGAUUUCAUGGCAUAAAAGCUCAAACAUUUCCAAUGGUAUUGGAAAGAUUAAAAAAAAAAUCAUCAAUAUCCCAAGUAACUCAAAGAUACCUGCUCAGCUAUCUCCUCAAGCUCAUAACCAAGCUUACGCAGUGCAUCAGCAUAUGGACCUUGAAGGUUCAAAUUCCCAAUGGCAUUUGUCAAAGCACGACCUUGGAGAUACUCCAUAGACAAGUAGUAUGUUUGUUUUGGAUCCACUUUGUUAAAAUGAACAUAAGUCGCAUUCCACAGCUGCAAAACAAUUCACACAACCCAAGUUUAUAUCACUCUCACAGAAACACACAAAUAAAACAUUCAUACACACUAAAAAUUCAAUUGAAUCUAACUACCAGAAGCCAUAAAUUCCAACAAACUCAUAUCUACUUCACGAGCAUAUCUUCAUCAAACAAAACUUACGGAACAGUCCACAAACAAAGAAACACUGAAUACCUCAAUGAGACGAUCGCGAAGACUCUCAGCCGUAGCAUAAAGAGCUUGCUCAGGCCCGAACUUCAACGGAGAGAAAUGUGGACUGUACUUAGCGUGGUAGAGGAUAUUCUGAGCGAUCUCCGUACCUUCAGUAGCCUCCGGAAUCGCCUUCGCCGAGAUUCCCUCCGGCAAACUAGUCGCAGCUUUUCCAUUCGUGUUCGCCAUAGCUUAUCUCCCUGAAACACAACCACUGUAAUUCAGAAAUUUGCUUAAAUACACUCAGAAAAAUUCAAAAUUAUUGCCGAAGUAAAGAUUAGCGAGAGCAAUUACCAAAUUUCGAAACUGGAAUCUGGGAAGAGAUGAACAAACACUUCGAGAGGGCUUAUGAAGCAGAAGAAGAUACUGUGGAGAGAAUCAGUAUAUACUAAAAAAGAAGCGUAAGAUAUUUCUCACAAGAGGUAAAUGACAGAAACGUAAUUUUCUUUGUUUUUCUUUGUUUUUCUUUAUUUUGAUUUCUUUGUUUGUGUUGUUCGGGUGAUUUGAUGAAUUGUUUUUUUUUUUCUGGAAGGAUUGAAAAUGUGAGGAUCACAAGAAAAGAGAGAGUGAACUAGUGAAGUUUUUAUGUGUCAGAGGAAAGCACAGAAGAGCUUUGUGAUUUUUGUUUGUGUUGAAAAUAUCUAGAGAAGCCCCCACAUCUCUUUGUUUUUUAGUUAGAGAGACCCUUAAAUAUUAUUUUUCGUAUAAAAGAACACCCUUGUAUUUUGGGAAUUGAGGACCGUUGAUUAUUUUAUUUUCUACGAAUUUAAUUAGAAAGAAAUAUUGAUAACUCAAAUGUAGACGUUCAUUGAAAGCAAAUAAAAUAAGGAAUUUGAUCGAAGAAAGAGAAUGAGAAAAGAAAAUAAUCAAACAAGUAAAAUUCUGAAAUUUUCUAAUUUCCAACAUUUUUUUGCAAACGGAAGAAACUAGAAAAAUGGAAAUAAUCUGAGUAAAAAAGCCAAACGUAGUGACUCGCUUACGUUAUCCCUACUAUAGUAAAAGAGAAAUACAAAAGUUUCUUGGGUCGGGUUUUUUAAAAAAAAUUAACCCGAAAUUUUUCAAUUGGAUCUUACUAAAAAUUUAAAAAUAUUAAAUACCAGUUUCCAUAUAUAUUAUUUCGAAAUCUACCAAAUUAAACCAUCAAUAUCGGUUUUGGAAAGUACAUUAAUCUUAAUUUGUUUAAGGAAAAAUACAUUAAUGUAUGAUUUUGUAUAUUGGUUUAACAAAUUAACCUAAAAAUCAGAAAUAUAAAUUAAAUAUAAAAUUUAUCAAAUUAUCCAUAAUAUUUCAAAGCAAAAUGUUCCUUAAAUAUCUUAUAUUAAUAUUUAGAUGUAUAGUUUUCUCCUAUAUUAACUAUGAUCUUCACACCAAUUACGGGAUAAUUCAUUUUCAACCAUCUUUAAUAUAUUUAUUUGGCAAUAGUUUCGAAUUUCUGGCUUGAUUAUAAAGCUAAUCUUUUUUUCAACGCUAACCUAACUCUAAGAAAAUAUUAUCUAUGUAAAUAAGUUUCUGCUACCAGAAAAUUGUAACAUAAACACAGAUUUUACAUUUUAACACGAUAAGAAAUAAGAAAUCAUUGGCUCUUUAUUUGUUUAUUCUAGAGAUUUGCAAUUUUACAAAACUUCAUGAAAGGUCCAAGUUAAAAUCAUGUAUUUAUGAUUAUGCGGUGUACCGCGGGUCAAUCCCUAAACUUUAAAAAUGAUUCAUAGUAUAAUAUUUAUACAUGUAUAUAUGUCACAUAUUGUUCUAAAAUUAACAAUCCAACUAAAAUCAUACAAUUUAAAUAAUUUUGAACAUAUUCGAAACCAACACAAAAAUACAAUCUAAAAAUGAUAGAAUUUAAUUAAUAAUCAAAAUAAAGUAAAGCAAACACAAAUAAAUUAUCCCGCAACGUACAAAGGAUUAAAAACCCGGUAAUUUUCCCACGCGCUGUAGCGCGGGUCCGAAUCUAGUGCAUACGGUAAUGAGAGGUACUAAAAGUGAGAAAGAGAGCUAACACGAACACGUGUGUACGAAAAUCACGAAGUUGGGAAAGUGCGCGCACCUCGGAUCACGGAUCUGCACCUGCUGCCAACUUCACUUUUCCUCUGCUUCCGUGUCCUUUUUAGAUUAAUGAUUCAGCUUCUUCGAGGCCUAAGAUCUUUAACAUAUCAUUAACAAAAGGCGUUUCAUUACACUGAACACAGAAACACUUGCUACAUUUGUUCUAUCAAGGAGAAGAAGACGAAAGUGGACAUCUUUUCUAAGUUCUAUACAAGGCCGAUAUAAUCUUGUUCCUGAUAUGUACUUGAUGAAAAGAAGCUUGAUUCUAUUUAGAGUUGCAAUUAACUUCUCUCCUGGCUAAUGUUCCAUCUCUUAUAAGUGGAUUUUGUCCUGCUUCAAGCUGCUAAGAAGACCAUCAAAAUCAUGCAAAUUAUUGGAACAAUUUAUUAUAAAAAUGAACCCCAAAAAGCAAACAGCACAACUCAAGAACUACGAGAUAGGGACAGACCUGUUGUGUCAAAAUCGACUCUUUCUCCAGUUGCGUAUAUGUUGUAAAAGAGAGCGGAGAGGAGAUAUAAAAUUGCUGUAAGAAGGAUAAAUCCUUGGAAGGAACCCAGUCGUUCUACAAAGAAACCAGUUCCAACUGUACCAACUAUUGCAGCCAAUGUUCCAGCAGUAAGACACAUUCCUAUAACAGUAUUAAAGGUCAAUAACAGUCAAAAUAUUUUCUAAGGCCAAUUCCUUCUCAGAGGUACAAAGGAGCUAUCGGUGAUAAUUGAGAACCUAAAGGAACUAUGGAAACCAGUGUCUGUUAAAAGGAGAAUAAGAAUGUGUACCAUGUAGAACACCGGAAUACUCUGGAGCAAUUUCCUGAAACAUGAAAAAAUCAAUGUUAAAGAUACUCAAAAUUUGUGGUGGCUUAAGUAUGAAUCACACGCUUGGGUACCUGAAGGUUAAUAAGAAAACCCAAAUGGCUGAAUGAUUUUAGCCCAACAGCUAAACUGAGCCAGGCUGAUGCUACUAAAGGUUGUUUUGCUGUCGUUAGACCAAUAAGAGAAAUUCCAGGACCAAUGAAACCAAUGGACUACCAAAACAAGAAAUAUAACCCCCCAGUCAGAAAAAAGAAAAGUGAAUGCAAACUUCAACAACAUUCUGAUAUGUAAACAGAACUCUUCAUUCCGUGUGGCCUCUUGAUUGAAUGAAUUCUGUAACACAUGAAUCACAAACCUGCAUAAUUUUCCGCGUUAAGGUGAUGCUUGUACCACGCCGUAUCAACAAGUCCGACCAAAAACCAGCAAUGUAUCCAGUGAAAGCCAUCAUACUCCAUGGAACAGCACUAAACCAAGCAGCUUGUUUGAGGUUCACAUGAUAUACCUGCGACACGAUAUUCUCUGAAAUUUCUUAAAAUACUAAAAAGAAAGAUUCUAUUUAGAAUUUGUUGGUGAUAGAGACUUACUGAAUUGAAGUAUAUGGGCAUCCAUGAAAGAAUCACAAAGAAACCCUGGAAAUAAGUCAUUAAGUCAGUUUAAUGAAUUACAACAAAUAGGAAAACACCUGAUCAUAACUGUAAGUCACAGCAGUUGGUGCUACCAAUUCCACUUCCAAAGUAAACCUCACAGUAACAAGAUUGAAAGAGUUGUAUUGAGAGGAAUAUUUAUACAUACCCAGCUAUGCAUGGAAUUUGCAACUAUAACAGCCCAAGUUGGCAUCUUGGAGAGAAGGCGUCCAAAAGGAGGUAUUCCACCUGUGAUGUAUUGUUUGUUCACCCUAGUAGAUGUUUGCUGCUUUUGCUUUAUAUACUCAAGUUCAGACUUUGUAAUCUGAGGAUGUCGAUCUGGUGCACUUGACGUUGCAGAGAGCCACACAAGCAACCAGAGGAACCCCGAUAACCCAAAAAUUACAAAUGGACCAUAUAUACCACCUUGAGACAUGAGAAUAGGAGAUAACAUGAGUCCUACAACAUUCCCAAGCUGAAACCCCGCCAUUGCAAUACCAACCGCCCUAGAACGUUCUGUUGGGGGAAACCAUCUACAUCAAAAGUACCAUCACUAAGAACCCUAUAAAUCCAAGAAACUAUUGUCUGCUCGUUUCGAAAUCAUGAGUGUGCCUCUAUCACAUUUUGAAUAUUCUGAGAAACAUAACAUCACUACCUUGCAACCAUGUUGUUCAUGCAAGGAAGAGCUACUCCUUCAGCAACUCCAACCAUAGCUCUUGCAGCAAGCAGAGCCAACAAAGAAGUAUCAGCUGCCCAAGGAGUAAGAAAAGUAGCCAAAGACCACAAAGCCACACCCCAUGCCAUGACUACUUUACCACCAUAACGGUCCACCAAAGUUCCGCCAGCUAUUGGUGAAAUCAGGUAUCCCCAAAGAAACGAUGACUACCCAAAGAAACAUUCAAGAAAGUAUGAGACAAUGCUGUACAGUAGAACGGCUUAGUACUGAAGUUACCAAACAAAUUAUGAAGAAAUCAAAAAUGUUGAGAGAGUUAACCUGAACGAUACCGGAAAAAGAUUUGCUCCAUCCACGAGAAAGCGAAAGAGGAACAAUCGCAACGGACAUCACAACACGAUCCGCAUUGCAUAGCGCCAGAGCAAGCGCGAGCAUCGCAACAACCUUCACUCUCUCCGACGUUAUAAAUUCCGAAAAAUCAGGUUGCACAGUCACCUCCGCUGACGUCUCUCCCGGCGUACGGCGAGAAUCGCUGCAAGACACUCUUAAUCGAUGACGCUGAAUAACACCACAUAGAUCGACGGAAUUGUUCCCGUCGAAUCUCAAUGCGCCUACGCCUCUACCGGAGCAGAGUAACAACUUUUUCCGACGAUCUCGGUCCGGCAACGACGGAAACCUCACUGUAGGUAAGUACGAAGUCAAGACAGCUCGAUCUCCAUGGAUUUUUGGGGUUUUGCGAUUACGGAAGUCUAUUGAAGAUUGUGAAGAGAGAGAGUAAUACAUUUUCACCUAUCGGAGCUGCUCAGUGAUGAUUAGUCCGGUAACUGAAGAAGAAGACGAAGAAGAAGUUGCUCGCUCGGAUUGCAAUUGCAACAACCAAAUCGCGUGAUGCGGGGGAGUGACACAUCCGUAUCGUUUUAGGCCCACUAACAUAUAACAGGCCCAUAUUGAUUGGGUUUCAUGAUUAAGUAAUUUAAUGUUUUCCGAUUAGCAUGAUUAUAAUUUAUAAGUGCAUCAUGCAAUUUAUUUUUUCUUAAAUUAGAGUGUUCAGUUCUUGAGAUUAAGUCAUUCAUCUGAAGCUAAGAAAACAAAAAAAACUUCUUCCCUCAAAAAUAUUUUAUAGUUAAAAUUACUUUUGUGACAAAAACUUACAAUAAAGCAAAUUGAAAGACAAGCCAACAUUAAUGUCAUAAAAAAAAUUAUAGACUUAAAUACCAUAUUGUUGUCAACUAUAAAAAUAUGCUGCAUUUUGUAUUACACCAUUUACGUUUUGUAGAAUGAAUUAUCCAAAAAAAACCAUUGGUGUUUGAACAAAAAUUCCUUAACUAAAAAAAAAAAAAAAAAAAAAAAAAAAAAAAAAAAUCCUUAACUUUUUUUACUAAUAUCUUUACCCUCAUAAUGUCUUGGAAAAAUCAAAAAUAUUAAUUAUCAGUCACUGUAUUUGGACUUUGGAGUAAACACGUGAAAAAUCCCAGUCUUUUAUCAGAAAAUGAGAACAAUUACAGUAAAAUCUGUAUAUGCCGACAAAAAGAAAAAGAUACUACAAAAAUAGUUUUGGCUUCGGGACUUAGACCAUCUCCAAUGGUUAGAACCAUGGGAGGGUGCUUAUUCCUUUUUUUGCAUUAAUUUUUUAAAAAUAAAUUUAUAAAUAGCCCUUAGUCUUUGCUUAAAGAGUUAAUUUAGACAACAAAGCUUAUGAAAAGUGCUUGAUUUGCAUUAAAUAUAACGCAAUAAAUAUAGGCAAUGUCUUAAGGUUCCCAUUAAGCAAUGCCAAUGGAGUUGCUCUUACUAAAUUGUUUUUUUUGAAGAACUACAAGUCUCUCUCUUGUCUUGGGAACUUGUCGUAGAUCCGAAUCUCUAUGUUUUUACUCAUGUUGGUCACUUUAGUCGAAUUAGAUUCCUUUAAAAUCCGUAAAUUAAAGCAAAAAUAAUCUCAUCAAAGAAAAAACUAGUCACUGCACUCUCACUCUCUCUCUCUUAAGUCACCGCCGCACGCAAGCAAAGCAACGAACCACCUCUCUCUCUCUCUCUCUCAUAAGCAAUGGCUAACGUCAAACAAACCAGUCGCCGUCGUUCUUCUUCCUUAUGUCACCGUCACCCUUCCGCUAAACCAACCAGCGGUUUCUGCGCUUCUUGCCUCCGUGAACGUCUCGUCACUAUAGAAGCUCAGUCUUCUUCUUCCCCAGCCGCCGUUCAGACUCCUGAGCUCCGUCGUAUUCGAUCACACUCUGUUCGUAACGCGUCAGUCUCUGUUUUAACUCAGCCGCGGCGGAGAUCGUGUGACGCUAGGUCAAGCGCUAGCUCUCUACACGAUCUGUUUGUCGAUGAUGACGAAGAACGUUUGGAUAGUUCGAUUCGGAAGCCUCUGGUUCCGGAGUUGAAAGAGGAAGAAGAAGAAGAAGAAGAUUACUUCGAUGGAGAAGAUAUCAAAGGUUUUGAUGAAGGCAAGCCGAGGAAGAUUGUUGAAGAAGAAGAAGGUAUAGAGAACAAGACGAUGAAGGAGUUUAUAGAUCUUGAUUGGGGAAACCAAAUCAAGAAGAACAAUGGUACUAAGGAAAUAGCAUCGGUUUUGAGUAGGAGACUUAAGAUCUUUUCAUUGAAUCAUCACAAGGAGAAGAGAAAAGAUGAACAGUCAGAUUCUAGAUUCGUUCUUGGUCGUCACUCUUGUGAUGUGGAUCCUAGAUUGUCUUUUGAUGGAGGUAGGAUCUCGUUUGAGAAGCCAAGGGCUUCAUGGGACGGAUGCUUGAUUGAGAAAUCGUAUCACAAGCUGACGACAUUGUCUACUGUGACAGAAGAUGCUAAAGCUAAAUGUGGUGGUAAAGAAGAAGAAGAGGAGGAGGAGGAGAAGAGUCCUGGUGGGACAGUUCAAACGAAGAACUAUUACUCGGAUUCCCGUAGAAGGAGAAGCUUUGACCGAUCGGUUUCGAUUAAGAGACAUGGAUUGCUUGAGGUUGAUGAUAUGAGAGGUAUUUCGAAUGCUAAGGUAUCACCUGAAACUGUUGGUUUGUUUCAUGGUGCUAAGUUAUUGGUUACAGAGAAGGAACUUAGGGAUUCUAAUUGGUAUUCGAUCAAAAAUGCUAAACCAGAGAGUAAAGAGUUAGUUUCUAAAGGAAAGAUUUGUAUUGGUGCUGCUGGUGAGGGGAAGAAGCAGGAUAGUGUAGAGUUAAAGAAACCUAGAAAGAAAUGGCCAAAGGGAUGGAACAUUUGGGGACUGAUACAGAGGAAAAGCGAGGCGAAGAACGAAAUCAAAACCGAGCAAAGUUUGAAACUUGAAGGGAAUGCAGUUGAGGGUUCUUUGGCUGAGUCUCUGUUGAAGCUUAGGAGAGUAAGUAAAGGAGAAACCAAUGGUGGUGUUAGUGAGAAGCUAUUGAAAAGCUACAGCGUAAGCGCGAGAAAGUCUUGUGAUGGUGUGUUUAGUGGUGCUAAUAUUUCCAGUGGCUUUGAAGGUGGAAGAAGCUCCUGUGAUGGUUUGUUUCAUGGAUCUAUUAACAGUGUUGAGGUUGGAAGAAGCUCCUGUGACGGGUUGGUUAAUGGCAUUGAGGAUAAACAAAAUCCUCAUCUACUCCAGAGAAACGCCAAUGUUGGUACGCGCGGCCGAGAAAAACUUGAGAAUAGUUUGUUUAGAUUCCAUAUGACUCCUGCAAGGAGCCAUAAGACUAGCAAAUCCGGGAAGAGUAGGCUGAAGAAUUAGUUUGAUCUAACAUUUGUGUUAGCUCUUGAAUACCCUAUUGUAAUUAGCAACUAAUGUAUUUGUUUACUUUGGUCUAUAGAUAAGUGAACUAAGAUUCUAUUGCAAUUAUGUCCAUAGUCAUACUGUUGAGAUUCCUUAAUAUCACAUCUAACAACAAUUUUUGUUUUUCUUCUCCUAUCUUUUCCUCAUAAAAGCACUUAAACAAUACAUUAUUUUCUAGUCACUGUUUGCUUGUAGACAUUCGAAAUUGCGGGUAAUAUAUGUUCAUAAGAUACUUCCCCAAUGUGACUGGUGAAGUUACAGUGGUUUUGAAUUGAGACUGAAACCAAAAGGGAACAAUGGAUCAUAUGAAUUGGCAUUAGCAUCUAGUGGCAAAUGCUCAACACGUUUGAACCAGCUCACAGGUAAUUUCCCCUCGAAGUCAUAAUCUCCAAAAAUAACGUCAGCCAUCCCUUGCCCUUCUGUUCCAGGCAGCCAAGCAGCAACCAGAGCAUCUGUCUUUUCAAGAACUCUCUGCUCCAAAACCACAGGUCGUCCUGAGAUCAGGACCACCAGAGUAGGGAUUUUCUCUGCGACUGCGGUGACAAUGUCGCUACCAUUGAACGGUAUUGUGAGUUCCGAGUUAUCCCCUGUUGCCUCUGCAUAGGGCGGUUCCCCGACUGCAACAAUGGCAUAAGAGAAUCCUUCACUCGAGGCUAAGGUUUCCUUUGACGGAUUUUUCUCGUAGAUUACUUCGGUUUUGUCUCCAACUACUGCUUUUAUGGCAUCCAAAAGCGUCGUGCCUACAUUUUAGACAGACACAGAUUCAUGUUGAUUAACUUUACAACAGCAUCUUAUAGCCUCUGCUAAACAAAAGUCCCUUUCUAAACCAAAUAGCAAUUACUUUACUUACCAAUUGUGAUCCUGCCGCUUAGACCAAACCAUGUCUUUGUCCAUCCUCCACACUGAUAUCCAAGAUCAUCUGCAUGAGUUCCAGUGACUAGAAUCCUCUUGGCUUUGCGAUCUAGAGGCAGAAACGGUUUAUCAGCAUUUUUACCAUUCUUUAACAGAACUAACGACUUUCUAACUGCUUCCUGCGCCAAUUCUCUAUGUUCCUGCACACAUGGAAAAAUCUUAGAAUAAGGCAGCACUCUGGUCUAAUGACAUUCAGUACAAGAGAGCUCACCUUGCAACCAACAGUACGCAACAAAGAUCGAUCAGUGAGAGGAUGUUCGAAGAGACCAGCGACAAAUUUCACUCUGAGUAUUCUUUCAACAGCAUCGUUGACCCGAUCCAUCGGUAUUUCCCCUGACUCUACUAGAUCUGUCAUGUCUUGUAUGAACUGGUCGUACUUUAAUGGUACCAUCACCUGCAAUAACAUUGAUUAUACAAUCUUCACCCUGACAAUCAUUCAAAAUGAUGAAAUAUUUUGCUAAGCUGAAAUAUUUUGCUAAGCUGAAAUAUUUCGAAUACGGGAUUCAGAAUCUACCAUGUCAAUGCCAGCAUUGACCGAAGUUUUAAUGCAGUUGCGGUAGUUUGAUCCCUGAGGCUUACUAAGCCGGUCCAAACCUUCCCAGUCAGAAACUAGAAAACCCUGGUGGCAUAAACAAGAAAACUAGCUUUAUGCAUACACUUCUAGUUUAUUCCUAUUUUUUCAUUGGUACUCAAUUAAGUUUUGCACAAACCUUGAAACCGAGUUUGUCCUUGAGAAUUUCUGUCAAGAGAAAACGGUCGGCGUGGAGUUGAGUUCCAUUCCAACUGGAGUAAGACGCCAUAACCGUGGAGACUCCCUGAGAAAGACACUUAAGAUAUGGAGUAAUGUGUAUCCUCUCUAAGUCUUCAUAUGACGCAAUGGUGUUCCCUUCAUUAAUGCCCUUGUCAGUACCACCAUCUCCUACAAAGUGUUUGGCGCAGGCGACAACAUUGUUUCUAUAACCCAGUAAACAAAUCUAUGAGACAUGACAUCAAAUCUACUAAAGACCAAAAUCAAACCACAGUGUAGUGUUUUAUUUGAUACCUUCCUGCAACAAAAGGGUAGCCAUUUGGGUGUUCUUCUGGUGGCACGCCUUGUAGGCCUGAGACAAGCGAAGUCAUCUCGGAGACAAGUCCGGGAUCUUCUCCAUAACUCUCAUAGCAUCGUCCCCAUCUCGGAUCUCUCAAGACCUGUUAGAAAGACAAAAUAAAAACAUUCAAUUCAAAAUUCUUACAAAUCAUUUUGUUCAAUUUCAGUUGUUAGAUUUACAUAUAUAAAAGGGACUUACAGCAACACAGGGAGAAAAUGCCCAGUGAACACCACUAGCCCUUACUUCAAGUGCAGUUGCAGCUCCGAUUCUUCUAACCAAAUCUGCAUCUCUACAGAAUUGCCAAAACUUAUCAUGUUAAUAACAACCAAGCAACCACAUCAUGGCUGCAACAAAAGCACCUAUCUUGAACACAAUCAGACUCUAAUCACAACUACUGCAAUACCACCACUACUACUACAUUGUAAUCAGGAGCUAAGUGAAGCUAAUCACAAUUUUAAAUAGGUAAUUGAAUCCAGUCCACAAAGCAAGUUUCAUCAGAAAGACAAAAAACAGAACAAAACAACCUAGACCAAGACCAAGACUCACAGUCCAAAAUGUGAAAUUAUCUAAGUGUAUGCAACUAUCUCUCACAGAUCAUUGUAGUUUGCUUAGUUAAUGGUGUAAAACCUGGUGGCUCCUAGGCCGAUGUUGUGAGGGAACACGGUGGCGCCGUAGACAUUGUUGUUGCCAUGGACAGCGUCAGUGCCAUAGAUGAUUGGAAUUCCCAAACGCGACGCUAACGCUGAACGCUGAAAACCGUCGAUCAUAUCCGCCCAAUCCGACGACUUAGCAUCCUCGAACGGCGCACUCCCACCGGCGUUUAGUACACUUCCUGUAACACCAAAUUCAUAAAUUUAUAUUCUGAUUAUAUAAAAAUCCAUUUUCCAAGAAUCAAAAUCACAGUAAAAGAAAAGACAAGAACUGCGUGGUUUGUGUGUACCGAUGAAAGAAUCUGUAAUGGCGACAGGAGAAGCAACGUUUCGUUCAAUCUGAGUCAUCUGACCAAUCUUUUCCGGCAGAGUCAUCCGAGAGAGAAGGUCCUUCACACGCGCCUCCACUGGCGCGUCUCGGUUCUUGUAAACACAUGAAGACUCAUCCUUCACUACCAUAUUCUUACUCUUCUUCGUGUGUCGGUCGUGUUCUUCUCACAAAGUUCAGUUCAGCUACUUCUGAUACUUCUUUUAUCUAUAAACCAAGUCCGAAGAGACGUGGCACACUGGUUGACGCCUUCACGGUCCACUCAUGUACUCUCUCAAGUCUCAACUGCUCCAGUAAAUGGUUUUAAUAAGUAGAAAAAAAAUUACCCAUUUGAGGCACUGAACUAAACGUGUGGGUUUGUUACAAAUUGGUUGAAAUAGACUCAACAUUCUUGUUUCAUGUCAAAUAUUGAAAAAAUGAGUUAAAAAAUCCAAGAACUACUGAAAAAUCCACUAAUUAACUAUAGUCUAUAUCUUACAUACAUUUUUAAUUAUACACUAGGUAAUAACCCGCGGUACACCGCGGGUCGAGGGUUGGUUAUAUUUUUUUAAUUUGUAUCUGAUUUUCAACGGUAGUUUUUGUAAUGGUUUGUAUUUGUUGAUCUUAUGGGUUUGUUAUGUAGUAUGCAGUGUAAUUGUUUUAUAAAAUUAAAAGUGAAAAUUUGAUAUGUUUUUAUCUUCUUAAUUCAUGUUAUGUGUGUUUAUUUGAGAUUUUGCACAACUCCUUUCUUUCUAGCUUUAUUAACGCUUUGUAUAAAUUAUAAAUCUUAGUAGAUACUUCAGUACACCCAAUAGAUCAAGUUUGUAGAAUUUUUAAAUAUUGAUUUGGUGCAUGUGAAACAUUGGUACUAUAUUAUCAAAAAUGGCCCCUUAUUAACAAUUUAACAUGCUUAUAUUUCGGCUCUUUUUAUCUGGGUAUGUAAAGCCCAAAACGUCAUGGUUAGAUAGAAAACAUUCAACUAUUAAGCAGGCCCAUUUAGACUCGUUUUUGGUUACACACAAACGGCCAUUCACAAUUGCAUACGAAUGUCCUCUCGACUACCUAUCUUCUUCUUCAUUUUGCCUUUUCUUCUGUCAUUGAACGUGUUCUCUUUUCUUCCAAAUCUCCUAAUAAAAGAAACAAACUUCGUCUUCUAUGAUCGUAAUUGUCAUGAAUUGGUAAGCAGUUGUGAAAUACCGCAUUCAUUUGGUUAUAUUUGUAUGGAAGUUUCUGAAUUAUUGGGGUUCCCUUCGUCUGCGCAGAUCUACGAAAUGAAGAGCCGAGCGCCUGGUCCUCAAUACGAUCUGGCGAUUAUUUCCGACAAUGGAGGUAUAAAUACUUCGGAUACCAGGUAGAUCAACUUUUCCGCCUAAUUCACACGAUUUCGGUUUUUAAACAACUACAACAAAUUAGAUAUACUAACUGAGUUAGACCUGACGAUUACAUUAAAUAAUGGACAAUGAUAAUGUAACAAACCCCAAAAGAAUUUGGAUUUCGAUCUAUAUUCACUUCAAAACUUAUCCAAUUAUAGGCCUUCCUAGUUAUUGUACAAACGAAAGGGUUUAAUUUUAAUUGAAGAAGUUUAUGGUAAAUUCAAAUAGCUUAGGUUAUUCGUAGGGGUUUAACGGAUGCGGUUGUUCCUUUUUAAUUAUACAUUUUUAUUACCCGAUCCUCAAUCAGACAGGUGAAGUUAAACCGGUUACAGAUUCUAUCCCGAGUUGCAAGUGAGACCAAAACCAAGAGGAAACAAUGGGUCAUACGAAUUGGCAUCAGCGUUUAGAGGCAACUGAUCAACGCGUUUGAACCAGCUCACUGGUAACUUCCCAUUGAAGUCAUAAUCUCCAAAUAUGACAUCAGCAAUACCUUGCCCUUCAGUUCCAGGGAACCAAGCAGCGACCAAAGCAUCAGUCUUUUCAAGAACCGUUGGCUCCAAAACCAUAGGCCUUCCUGAGAACAGAAUCACUAGACUCGGUAUUUUCUCUGCAACUGCGGUUAUAAUGUCGUUACCGUUGAAAGGUAUCGUGAGUUCCGAGUUAUCGCCUUUCAUUUCUGCAUAUGGAGGUUCCCCCACUGCAACAAUGGCGUAGGAGAAGCUUUCACUCGAGGCUAAGGUUUCUUCUGUUGGCGUUUCCUCGUAGAUCACUUCGGUUUUGUCUCCAACUGCUUCUUUUAUGGCAUCUAAAAGUGUUGUACCUACAUUUCAAAAUAAAAACAUAAGUAUUCAAAAUCGACUUAUUCACUAUAAUUUAGUGGCGUCUGCAACUGGAAUUCGAAUUCAGUUUAACUACCAAUUGUGAUUCUGCCGCUUUGACCGGAUUUAAUCUUUGUCCAUCCUCCACACUGAUUUCCAAUAUCAUUUGCGUGCAUUCCGACCACUAGGAUCCUCUUGGCAUUGCGGUCUAAUGGCAGAAAUGGUGUAUUGGCAUUUGUUCCAUUCUUCAGCAAAACUAAAGACUUUCUAACCGCUUCACGUGCCACUUCUCUAUGUUCCUGCAGUUGUUGUAGUAAAUAGAGUCAAUCAUGCUCUUAUGCAUCUUACAAUAGUGGCGGAAACUAUAGAGACCUCACCUUGCAGCCAACAGUUCCCAACAAAGAUCGGUCCGCGAGAGGAUGUUCAAAGAGACCAGCAACAAACUUCACUCUGAGUAUUCUUUCAACAGCAUCAUUCACCCGAGCCAUUGGUAUUUCCCCUGACUCCACCAGAUCUGUCAUGUCCUGUAUGAACUGUUCGUACUUGAAAGGUACCAUCACCUGCAAUAACAAUGAUUAACAAUCUUCACCUCCUAACAAAUCAUUCAAGACAUGGAAAAUCAUUUUCAUUACCAUGUCGAUUCCAGCAUUAAUCCCAAGUUUGACGCAGUUACGAUGGUUUGAACCUUGUGGCUCGCUAAUUGUCUCCAAACCAUCCCAGUCGGAAACUAGAAAACCCUGAUGACAAAAAAAAUAAAAUAAUAAGUAAAUCAAAACGAGCUUAAUGCACACACCUCUAAGCUUAUGUAGAUAUUUUUCCAUAGUCUAUCAACCUUGAAACCAAGUUUCUGUUUGAGAACUUCUGUUAAGAGAAAAUAGUCGGAGUGGAGUCUACUUCCAUUCCAACUGGAAAAAGAGGCCAUAACGGUAGAGACUCCCUGAGCAAUACAGUUCAGAUAGGGAGCAACAUGUAUUUUCUCCAAUUCUUCAUAUGACGCAAUGGUGUUCCCCUCGCUUAAGCCCUUAUCGGUACCACCAUCUCCAACAAAGUGUUUUGCACACGCGACCACAUUGUUUCUACUCACCAAAUGAACAAAUUCAUGAGAAAUUGACAACAACUCUAUUAAUCUAUUAUAGUCUAGUGCACUAUAUAUGGUUAUGUAGUAUAUAUACCUUCCUGCUACAAAAGGGUAACCGUUGGGGUGUUCUUCAGGUGCCUCGCCUUGUAGGCCAGAAAUAAGCGAGCUCAUCUCACAUACAAUAUUAGCAGCUUCGCCAUAACUCUCAUAGCAUCUUCCCCACCUUGGAUCUCCCAAAACCUGUGAGUAAACAACAUUUCAUUCAAUAGUACUCCACCAAUCAUUUUUCAUAUAUCUUAACAAUCUACUUAAAAGGGACUUACGGCCACGCAGGGAGCAUACGUCCAGUGAACGCCACUAGCCCUUACUUCAACUGCUGUUGCAGCACCUAUACGUCUGACCAAAUCUGCGUCUCUACCGAAUUACCACACAAAACUAGGAGUGUUACACCAACGAAAACCAAACAAGGUAGAUGAAAAGAUCUUUGACACAAUCAGAUUCUAAUCAUAGCCAAAUCCAAUGCAACUAAUACUAAUAUAUGAUCAAAAGCUAAUUGAAGCAAAAUCAUCAGAAACUCCUACUAAAAAUCAAAUUUUUGUGGAAACUGAAUACAAAAUAAAUCCAAAUUUGCUUGAAACUUAACAAAAAGAUUCAAACUUUUUUCCAAAUUCAAAAGCUUUAAAAUGUCUAAACCUCCAUUACAUACAAAUCUCUCUCACUCUCUGUCUCACUUCCCUCUUUCGCAGAAAUUAAAGUUUUAUGCUCAAACCUUGUGGCUCCGAGACCAAUGUUGUGGGGGAAGACGGUGGCGCCGUAGACGUUGUUGUUGCCGUGAACGGCGUCAGUUCCAUAGAUGAUCGGAAUCCCCAAACGCGACGCUAACGCUAAACGCUGAAAACCGUCAAUCAUAUCCGCCCAAUCCGACGACUUAGCGUCCUCGAACGGCCAACUUCCGGCGCCGCUCUGUACACUGCCUGUAAACCAAAAAAGUUUUCAUUUUUACGUUUCGAGAGAAAGUAUCAAAUUUUUAGUUCGUUGACCAAAACAAAGAAAAAUGUUCAGUGGUUUAGUCUAGUCGUCACUAGUGAGUGUGUAAGUGUGUUAUAUAUUAGUAGUACCGAUGAAAGAAUCUUUAAUGACUUGAGGAGAAGCAACGCUGCGUUCGAUCUGAGUCAUCUGACCGAUCUUCUCCGGCAAAGUCAUGCGAGUGAGAAGGUCCUUCACACGCGCCUCCACUGGCGCGUCUCUGUUCUUGUAAACCCCAUGAAGACUCAUCAUCAGUCUUUGCCAUUUCUCUUCUUUAUCAACUAGUCUAAUUAAAACCAUUCCGCUUCUCGUUACUCGUUAGUCUUUUAUCUAGCCAAGCCGGAGAAGGACACGUCACACUCUUGUUUCCCCACUACACUCGAAUGCUUAUUUAAUUGGUUAAUCUCGUACAAUAAUUGAGAAAUUGGUGAUAUGAUUGUAUAUUACUAGUAGUUUUGAAGGUGUUCAUACAUAAAAGACAUUAUAAAUAUAUUCAUUUGUGUAGUUAUCCAUAUUAUGAUUUUUGUGGAUGGUUGUUUUUAUUAUUGAUCGAUGAGAGAAUUAAUAGUGCAAAAUACUGAAUUCUUUAUUUAUAGAUCCAAAAGUUUUGUUACAACACUCAUUAAACUUAGACCAAACGGGACAUUAGAUCAUAACUACAUAACUUGGACCAUCUCGAACUUUUAAUCAUCAUGUCGUUAGGCUCAUGCACAUAGACCAUAACUUGGACCAUCGACUGAAAAAUAGACUUCACAUAGACGUUGUAUAUGUCCAAAAUAUUUUUCAGUCGUUUUACGUUGUUAAAAGAAAAACAAAAUCUAAUCUCUGGGUCCAAACUUUUUUUUUUUGUUUAACUCUUAAUUUAUUAUUUAUUGCAAAUUAUGAGAAUUGUUAUCGAUUCUACUACCGACAAUUAUAUCCGACCCUAUUAUACUCACCACAGAUUAUACCAUUUGACGACACCUCCCUCUCCAUGCGUAGAAUCACGGCGAACGGAUCUAAUUGUGCAUUGUUAUAGAUAAAAGCUUUAUACAAUCCUUCGUCGACCACUGGAAAGGGAGCUUCCACAAGGUCCAAACUCUUUAAAAUAUUUUAAUUUAUUUAUUAAUUAUUAAGUUUUUAUAAAAUCUCUUUAAAAUCCUGACGUAAGAAAAUAUAAGAGAGUGAAAAAAGAUCUCUUAAAAAAUCCAGAAAAUAAGAAGUCGUUGUCAAAGUUGAGGAUUCUAGGGUUUAUAGCGACGCCAUGCGGCAGAAGCAAGUAACCCGCCCAAGCUAUGGUCUUCCCUACUACGUCAUCGAAAUUUCACGGAACUGUUUUUGAAAUUAUCUUCAGCUCAGCCGCGUAUGUUAUUCACCUUACUACACAACGGUAAACUGAUCUUCUACUCCGCACCUCAGCAUGUACAUCCAGAGCAUGCACAUGUACCUUUGGUUCCCUGUUAUCAUAUGUCGUUCGCCAAAGGUAUGGAUUCUCCAUAUGGCUAUGAGAUUCGUGCCCCUGUACGUGGGUUUCUUUGUAGCAAAACUAGAAUUCCUAUGAUCUAUAACCCUAGAACAGGAGAGUACGUACCUUUACCCAUAGUGAGAAAAAAGAAGGUUGAAAUAAUAACCUAUAUUGGGUAUGACCAUAUCGACAAACUAUUCAAGGUAUUGUGUUUUCCCAAUGUGUUUGUGGCAUGAGGAUUUUGCAUGUCGAGUUUCAACCUUAGGAAUGGGAAAAGUAUCGUGGAGAAUGAUCGAAUGUUCGAUACCCAUGGACCUUUACGUAAUGAGAUAUGCAUCAACGGAGUUUUGUACUAUUUAGCUGAGUGCAUUGGAAAUACAAAUCCAACACGAUGUUAUAUGGUAGUUUGCUUUGAUUUUAGGUCUGAAAAAUUCAACUUCUUAGCUGUGGAAGAAAGGUUUUGGUGUUCAACUCUGAUAAAUUGCAAAGGUAAAUUGGGCGUACUAUGACCACUGCGCCCUUUACUGGUGUAAGUGACCUUACAAAAAGUCUUGAGUUGUGGGUUCUAGAAGAUGCGAAUGAACUGAAAUGGUCCAAGAUUGUCUACACAUUGCCAUAUCAGUGGAAGUGUCUAGCUCGGUAUAAAUGUCUAUACAUUGUCGGGAUGACUAGCGGAGGUGAAAUUGUGUUCUCGACAUCUUAUCUAGACGAUCCUUUCUACAUCUUCUACUACAAUGUAGUGAUGAACACUAUUAAUGUAGUUGAAAUCCAGUUUGGGAAUGUAGCUGAGAAGGCUAAAAACUCAAGGAUUUAUACAUUUAUAGACUAUAUAGAGAAUGUAGAGCGUAUUUAUUAGGACUUUAUAAUUUACAAACAUAUAUAGUUGUGUAGUAGUUUGGCUUUUAAGUUUUAGUUCUUUAAUACAUCCUUAAUGAUGCGUCUAUAUAUCUUGUUCAGUUAUUAUAUGACUAUUUAAUUUUAUGUUUUGCUUUGACAAACUUCAUCAUCACUUUACAAAGCACUGUGUGUCUAUAUGAGUAUGAAAACGAAUUUUAAAAAAAUUGUACAACAUAAUUUUCUUGUCGAACAAAGAAAGCAAUACUAAUGGACUUGUUAUAGGAUUUCAUUGGAGUUUACAUGAUGAUGUUCUAAAAUAAAACAGAUUAACAACAUUAGAACUAUACAGCAUCUCUUUGAUAUCUUUCGAGUGAGUUAAAUUUUCUUGUUUUACAUAUUAUUUACUAAAGUGUAUGUAUUCAGUUACUAACUACCAAUUCUAGUGAAUUAAAACUUUAUAAGAAAGAUCUAACAUUUGACUACAUGUUAGUCAAGUUUUGAUUACACACAAUGUCAAGUUUAGAUAUUGAAAGUUAAAGAGUUUAGAAGACAACUGUUUUUGGUAGAUUAAUUCAAGAAUUUAAUAUUCAACUGUUUGAACUUAAAAAAAGCAAGACAAUGUCUCCAUCUAUUAGACCUGUGUUCCUCCUUAUAUAUAGAAGAUCUUAAAACUCUAUUUGUAAACAUGCCCUAAAUAAAAUACAAUUCAUGUUUUAUUAUUCUAGGGUGUGUUAGAGCCGCCUGAUAAAAAAAAAAGGCAUAAGCAAGUAGUCUCCCGCCCAAACAAGUAGCAAAUUCGAGUGGUAUUCAUGAAUACACAGAAAGUUUUGAGAUGUUGGGUUCUAGAGGAUGCUGAUGAGGUCAAAUGGUCGAAGACUGUACAUAUCAACUGUUUUGGAAUUUGUAAACCAUGUAGAGAAUAAUGUCGAGCUUAUGGAUUAAGACGUUAUAACAUAGAUUUGGAUCCUUAGCAUUUGCAUCCAUCUUGUUUCGUGAAGUAAUCAUUGUUGUGUUGUUAUUGUUUGAAUGUUCUUUAUAUGUAUCAAUGUAUGUUUGUUGUAAGCUACGUUUUAGCUAUUUGAAAACUUAAAAAGCAAGAAAAUACGACAAAGUAAAAGGAACAAAAAAAACAACAACUAUAAAUAUUUAGUGCUAGCUAGUAUAAAUUAUAAUUUGUUUGACUAAAGAAAAGUCAUUAUAUAAAUGUGUUUUCUAUACAAGAAAACAAGUGAUAUUAAAGAGAAGAUCUAGCAAAUAACUCACAAGUAUAUACCUCAGAAAUUAUUGAGAAAAAAUAAAUCCCUCGUAAAUCAAUCUUCCUAAUAUUAUAUUUGUUGUAGAACACUCGCAAGGACAUAAACAAUCUCAAAUGCAUCGUAAAUUGGUAUAUACAUUGUUAUUGUGUCCAUAGCAAUUUUAGGUGAUAUAAAAGAAAAAAAAAUCAAAAAUGACGUGAAAAAGGAAAACUUUUUAAAUGAUUUUUUUAUUUUUAUUUUAGUCAAAGUAAAAUAUCUUCAUUAUAGAAAACAUAUGGAAACAUAUAAUUUAAAAAAGAACUAUAUUGUAACAUAUAUAAUGUGCAUUUGAAAGAAACUUUUUUGAGAUUUUCUUUCUUUUACGGUAGAUUCAUGAACUAUUAGAUUUGGAUGAACUUGAAGAUUAUCAAGAUCCAUUUGAUUAGACCUGUGAUCUUUUACUCCUCCAUAUAAAUACAAAGUGUUAAGAAUCACUCUCUCAACAUCUACAUCAAAUUGAAAAUCAUGUUUGGGAUUUUAGGGUUUCACGCCUCCUUGGGAAAAAAACCGAAGCAAGUGAUGGUCCCUAACCCAAACAAGUCACCGAUGAUAGAAAAAUCAGAGGAGAUCCCAGUUGAUGUCUUGAUUGACAUUUUCUCAAGGUUGCCACUAGAAGCCGUUGCAAGGUGCCGCUGCGUGUCGAAGCUGUGGUCCUCCGUGCUGCGUCAUCAAGACUUCACCCAAUUGUACCUGAAAGAGUCAUAUGUCCGGCCGCGUAUCUUAUUCACCUUCUUGUACAUGGAUAGGCGGUUCUUUUACUCCAUACCGCAAGAUAUAGAUCCAGAGCACAACUACGCCUUUCCUAUAACUCCUUUUUUCCACAUGCGUUUCCCAACCGGUUACGGUUCUCCCUAUGAUGUGAGUCCCUCUAUACUUGGUUUUAUCUGUACCGAAUCUAGGAAGCCGACGAUAUGUAACCCGAGUACAGGGGAGUUCAUAUCUUUACCGAUAGCCACAGCCAAGAAGCAUCAGACGAGAACGUGUUUUGGGUAUGAUCCUAUUGGUAAGAUCUUCAAGGUAUUGUGUGUGUCGGGUGAUUUUGUCUGUAGAGUUGCAACAUUAGGAACGGGAAAAGUGAGGUGGAGAAGAGUCGAAUGUUCAAGCCCCCAUCAACCUUUAGCAACGACUGAGAUAUGGAUCGGUGGCAUAAUCUACUAUUUAACUAACUCCAUGGACGAUGUAAGUCCAACAGGCUUUACGAUAGUAUGCUUUAAUGUUAGAUCGGAGAGUUACACAUUUCUUGGUGUUGAUGAGUUUCCGACUCAGUAUUCAGCUCUCAUAAACUACCAUGGUAAGCUGGGCAUAUUGUUUCAUUAUUGGGAUAUUAAAAAUUUUAAAUUUGGUUUUGAGCUGUGGGUUCUAGAGGAUGCGGAUGAAGCCAAAUGGUCCAAGACUGUCCACAUAUUGCCAUAUCAUUGGAAGCAUCUAGUUGCCCGAUGUAUCCCAAUCAUUGUCGGGAUGACUAGUGCUGGUGAAAUUGUGUUGUUGGAACGUUAUCUAGAGAAGCCUUUCUACAUGUACUACUUCGAUAUAGUGAAGAGUAAUGUCUUACGAGUGGAAAUCGACCUCGGAACUGUAGUUUUGCCGAAGAAUUUUUACGACUCACCAAGAAUUGAUGCAUUGAUAAACCAUGUCGAGAAUGUAGAGCUUAUGGAUUAGAUUGGCUUCGAAGCACUUUCAUCCAUCUUUUGUUUCUUAACAAUUGUGGUGUUCUUAUUGUUUGAAUGUUCUUUUAUAUAUGUAGCAUGUAUGGAUUAAGAUCCUUCUGUCUUAAGUUUAUUGUUGCAUCCAUAUUGUAUCAAUUUUUUUUUUCUAUAACUUGUAAGCUAUGUUUGAGCCUUUUGCUGUUAGGUUAUAUAUAUAACUAAACAUUGAAUUUGAUCCAUAUAUAGUCUGAUGAAACGUUCGAUCUAGCCAGCUUCUCUGUAAUAAAAGAAGGCAACAACAUGUUAACUAGCUAGUGAUGAUUUUGUUUUGUUUUGUGGAGUUACAUAAGAGGCACAUGAAACUAUUAUGAGUUAUUAAAUCAACUGUCGAACAAUUAAAGCUUCCUCUAUAGAUGUCACAAAUCAAGCUAUACCAGUAAAUCCAUUCCAUAUAAAAAAUAAAAAAAUCUUCCAAGUUUUUUUCAUUUAUUUUUGCAGAGAGAAAACAAUGCAAAUAGAAUUUGGACAAGAUAGUUUCUUGUCGAACCAGAUGACAGAUGACAGAUGCAUCACUCCAUGUAUUUGCUGACAUUUCUGUGGACUAGAAAUUUUACAAACGCCACAUCAUAUCAAGUAGAUCUUAGAUGUCACAUAUUCCAUCAGACCAGUGAAGUCAAACUGGUUUUGAGUUCUACUUACCUGAAUUGUUCUUCAGACCGAAACCAAAAGGAAGCAAUGGGUCGUUCGGAUUGGUAUUAGCAGUUUAUGGCAGUUGGUCAACUUCCCCUCCAUGAAGCCAAGCAGAGCCUCAGUCUUUUCAAGAACAAGCAAAGGAAGGCCUUCCUCAGGAUCUUCAUCCAGAUUCCAGAUCGUACCCUUGUACCUUUGGUUCCCUGUUAUCAUAUAUCUUUCGCCAAAGAUAUGAGUUCUCCAUAUGGCUAUGAGAUUUGUGUCCCUGUACGUCGGUUUCUUUAGUAGCAAGACUAGCAAGCCUAACAUCUAAAACCCUAGGCUUACAUGAAAACCUAUUUUGGGUAUCAAGUUCGGCCCAAACCAUUUUCCAUACCUAAAACAAAAAUAUUUUAAGUCCAUUAACAAACAAUAUUUUAAGAAAAAAAUAGCAUAGACAAUCAGGUCACUCUGGGGACGUUUACAUGCAAGUUCGCCACUGUGCCACAAGCUAACUUUGAAAGUGAUGUCCUUAACAUUUACACUAUAUAAUUUGAUGCAUAAAGCACCAGAUUGUCACGAGCCGGACCUGUUGGGCAUGAUCAUAUUCAUAUCGACACACUAUUUUCAGGUAUUAUCUUAGCUAAAGGAGUUUCAUGUGUCCGAAGAUUUUGCCUGUCGAGUUUCAACCUUAGAAUUGGGAGAAGUAUCCUGGGGAAUUAUCGAAUGUUCGAUAUCCCACAGACCUUUACGUAUUGAGAUGUGUAUCAACGGAGUUUUGUACUAUUUAGCUGAGAUUGGAAAUACAAAUCCAUGAUACGAUGUUCAAUGGUAGUUUGUUUUUAUUUUAGGUCUAAAAAGUUCAAGUUCUUAGUUGUGGAACAUAAGUUUUGGUGUUCACAUUACCAUGUGUCACCGGGAUGACCAUUAAUGAACGUGAAUUUGUGUUAUCGGUAUGCUAUCUUGACGAUCCUUUCUACAUUCUCUACUACAAUAUAAUGUAGUGAUGACUACAGUGAACGUUACGUACGUAGUUGAAAUCUAGUUUGGGAAUGUAGCUAAGAAAAAAAAAAACAAGGAAUUAUGCAUUAAUUAUGUAUAGACUCUAUAUACAGAUUAUGGAUCGUAGAGUACUUUAUAACAUAGUUGUGUAGUAGUUUGGCUUUUAAGUUUUGGUCAUUAAUAAAUCGUAUUAAUUGGCUUCAGAUAUAUUUCGAGUGAAUUAAAUUUUCUUGUUUACAUAUUAUAAAUAAAAUGUACGUAUUCAGUUACUAACUACCAAUUCUAGUGAAUUAAAACUUUAUAAGAUAGAUCUGACAUUUGACUACAUGUUAGUUAAGUUUUGAUUACACACAAUGUCAAGUUAGAUAUUAAAAGUUAAAGAGUUUAGAAGACUACUGUUUUUGGUAGAUUAAUUCAAGAACUUAAAAAAGCAAGACAAUGUCUCCAAGACCUGUGUUCCUCCUUAGCAUUUGCAUCCAUCUUGUUUCGUGAAGUAAUUAAUCAUUGUUGUGUUGUUAUUUGUUUGAAUGUUCUUUAUAUGUAUCAAUGUAUGUUUGUUGUAAGCUACGUUUUAGCUAUUUGAAAACUCAAAAAGCAAGCAAACACGACAAAGUAAAAGGAACAAAACAAACAACAACUAUAAAUAUUUAGUGCUAGCUAGUAUAAUUAUAAUUUCUUUGACUAAAGAAAAGUCAUUAUAUAAAUGUGUUUCCGAUACAAGAAAAGAAGUUGUAUCUUAAAGAGAAGAUCUAGCAAAUAUCUUACAAGUAUACCAAGAGAUUAUUGAGAAAAAUAAAUCCCUCGUAAAUCAAUCUUCCUAAAGUUAUAUUUUUUGUAGAACCCUCGCUAGGACAUAAACAGUAUCAGAUAUGCAUUAAAUUGGUAUAUAUACAUUGUUAUAGUGUUCAUAGCAAUUUUAGGUGAUAUCAAAUAAAAAAAUGACGUGAAAAAGGAAAACUUUUUAAAUGAUUUUUCUUUUUAUUUUAGUCAAAGUAAAAUAUCUUUAUCAUAGAAUAAUAUGGAAACAUAUAUUUUUAAAAAUAACUAUAUGGAAACAAAUAUAAAUAUACAACAGCAUAUGUGGUUGCAUCUAACAAAAAAAAAAAAGGGUCAUCACAGCCAAAUGCUGUAUGACCGUUUCGUUUAGAUAGACGACAGCGGUCUAAGAUUUUCUCAAGUCUAAAAUGGAAAACAUGUGAUUUGAUUGUCUGGUCAUGUUCUGGUUGACCGCUUACGUGCAUGUACUUGUGACUUGUGCCAAGAUCUUCAUCUCCUCUUUACGUUAUAGUUCUCUACUUUGAUAUUUGCAACUUCCCCACACAUAACUGACUAAAACACUAUAUAAAAAGACAUUGUAGGAGUCAAAAGAAACACACAAAAAAAAAAAAGACAAAACAAAAUCUUUGACAACUAAAUGCAAGAAAACACAAAUAAAGUAUCAAUUUUUAAAAAUUAAAAUUUAGUCCAAAAAGCCAAAGUGGUUUUAAUAAAAACAAAUAGACUAAUUGGAGUAUGUUUUUUUAGCAGAAGCGUGUUUUUGGUGUCAAGUAAAUCCAAUUAGGUUGAGCUGUCACUUUUACAGUUUAUCUUGCAUUUUUGGAAAAGAAGCUUUAAUUUUUUUUUGGGUAGAUUCAUGAAUUAAUAUACGUUUGGAUGAACUUGAAAAAUAUCAAGACAACAAUAUCUCCGUUUGAUUAGACCUGUGGUCCUCCUUUAUAAAUACAAAAAUGUUAGAAGUCACUCUCUCCACAUCUCAAAAUCAAAUUGAAAAUCAUGUUUGGGUUCUUAGGGUUUAACGCUUCCAUGGGUAAGAGGCAAAAGCAAGAAAUGGUUUCUAGCUCCGGUAAGAGGCAAAAGCAAGAAAUGGUUUCUAGCUCCGGAAAGUCCCCGACAAAAAACUCAAAGGAGAUCCCAGUUGAUGUCUUGAUUGACAUUUUCUCAAGGUUACCACUGGAAGCCGUUGCGAGGAGCCGCUGCGUAUCAAAGCUGUGGUCCUCCGUGCUGCGUCAUCAAGAUUUCACCCAACUCUACCUGAAAGAUUCGUCCGUUAAGCCGCGGAUCUUAUUCACCUUCUUGGACAUGGGAAGGCGGUUCUUUUACUCCAUGCCGCAAGAUAUAGAUCCAGACCGCGACUACUCCAUUCCAGUAUCACCAUAUUACCAGAUGCACUUCCCUACUGGUUUGGGUUCUCCCUAUGGUGUAAGUCCCUCUAUACUUGGUUUUAUCUGUACCCAAUCCAGGAAGCCAAUGAUAUGCAACCCGAGUACGGGAGAGUUCAUAUCUUUACCCAUAGCAACGGCCAAGAAGCAUCAGACGAGAACGUGUUUUGGGUAUGAUCCUAUUGGCAAGAUUUUCAAGGUAUUGUGCGUGUCGGAUGAUUAUGUCUGUCGAGUUGCAACAUUAGGAAAGGAAAAAGUGAGUUGGAGAAGAGUCGAAUGUUCAAACCCCCAUCAACCUUUAGCAACGACUGAGAUAUGCAUUGGUGGCAUAAUCUACUAUUUAACUAAGUGCAUGGAAAAUGUAAGUCCUACAGGCUAUACGAUAGUAUGCUUUAAUGUUAGAUCGGAGAGUUACACAUUUCUUGGUGUUGACGGGUUCCGAAUUUACCGUUCAGCUCUCAUAAACUACCAUGGUAAGCUGGGCAUAUUGUUUCAAUAUCGGGAUGUGAAAAAUAAUAAUUUUGGUUUUGAGCUGUGGGUUCUAGAGGAUGCGGAUGAAGCCAAAUGGUCGAAGACUGUCCACAUAUUGCCAUAUCAUUGGCAGCAUCUAGUUGCCGAAGGGAACCCAAACAUUGUCGGGAUGACUAUUGCUGGUGAAAUUGUGUUGUCGGAUACCUUUCUAUUGAAGCCUUUCUACAUGUACUACUUCGAUACAGUGAAGAGUGAUGUGUUACGAAUGGAAAUCGACUUCGGAACUGUAGCUAUGAAGAAGAAGAAGCCUUACUACUCGCGAAUGAUUUUUCCAUUGAUAAACCAUGUUGAGAAUGUAGAGCUUAUGGAUUAGCUUGGCUUCUAAGCAUUUUUCAUCCUUCUGUUUCUUAACAAUUGUGGUGUUCUUAUUGUUUGAAUGUUCUUCUAUAUGUAUGGAUUAAGACUUCAUAAUAUAUAUAGCUUGCCUUCUGUUUUAAGUUUAUUCUUGCAUCCAUCUUGUAUCAUUUUUUUUUUUUUUUUUUGGAACUUGUAAGCUAUGUUUGAGCUUUUGCUGUUAGGUUAUAUAUAAUUAAACACUGAAUUUGAUCCAUAGUCUGAUGAAACGUUCGAGCUAGCAAGCUUAUCUGUAAUAAGAAAGCAACAACAUGUUAAUUAAUGAUGAUUUAGUUUUGUUUUGUGGAGUUACAUAAGAGGCACAUGAGACUAUUAUGAGUUAUAUAAAUCAACUGUCGAACAAAGCUUCCUCUAUAGAUUUCACAAAUCAAGCUACCAGUAAACCCAUCCCACAAAUCAAGUUCUCAUUUAUUGCAAAGAAAAAACAAUGCAAAUAGAAUUUGUACAAUAGUUUCCUGUCGAACCAGAAAACAAGAUAAUGACAGAAGCAUCACUCCAUGUAUUUGCUGACAUUGCUGUGGCCUAGAAAAUUUACAAACGCCGGAUCAUAACAAUUAAUAGAUCAUAGAUGUCACAGUUUCACAUAUUCCAUCAGACCAGUGAAGUCAAACCGGUUUUGAGUUCUUACCUGAAUUGUUCUUCAGACCAGAAACCAAAAGGAAGCAGUGGGUCGUUCGGCUUGGUAUCAGCAGUUAAUGGCAAUUGGAAUUGGUCAACUUCCCCUCAAAUUCAUAAUCUCCACAGGAAGCCAAGAAGAGCCUCAGUCUUUUCAAGAACAAAGUAACCAUAGGCCUUUCUCAGGAUCUACAUCCAGAUUGUGCCCUUGUACCUUUGGUUCCCUGUUAUCAUAUGUCGUUUGCCAAAGAUAUGAGUUGUCCAUAUGGGUAUGUAUGACUUUAUGAGAUUCGUGCCUCUGUACGUGGGUUUCUUAGUAGCAAAACUAGCAAGCCUAACAUCUUUAGCCCUAAGCUGGCAUGAAAACCUAUUUAGGGUAUCAAGGUCGGCCCAAAACAUUUCCAUGCCUAAAACAAAAAUAUUAUAAGCCCACUAACAAACAAUAUUUUAAGAAAAAAUAGUAUAGAUGAAGCUCAAUCUGGUCAUUCUGGGGACUUUUACAUGCAAGUUCGCCAAUGUGCCACAAUCUAACUUUGAAAGUGAUGUCCUUAACAUUUAUACUAUAGUUUGAUGCAUAAAGCACCAGAUUCAUGAGUUUCUGUCACGAGCCGGACCUGUUGGGCAUGAUCGUAUUCAUAUCGACAAACUAUUUCCAGGUAUUGUCUUAGCCUAAGGAGUUUCAUGUGCCCGAGGAUUUUUCCUAUCGAGUUUCAACCUUAUAAAUGGGAGAAGUAUCCUGGGGAAUAAUCGAAUGUUCGAUAUCCCACAAACCUUUACGUACUGAGAUGUCCAUCAGCAGAGUUUUGUACUAUUAAGCUGAGUGCAUAUAUAAUUGGAAAUACAAAUCCAUGAUACGAUGUAUAAUGGUAGUUUGCUUUGGUUUUAGGUCUGAAAAGUUCAUGUUCUUAGCUGUGGAACAUAGGUUUUGGUGUUCACAUUACCAUGUGUCACCGGCAUAACCAGUGAAGGUGAAAUUGUGUUAUAUCUGCAUGACGAUCCUUUCUACAUUCUCUACUACAAUAUAGUGACGAACGUAGUUGAUAUCCACUUUGGGAAGGUAGCUAGGAAAUCAACAAUUUCAAGGAUUUAUGCAUUUAUGUUGGCGUUGAUGGGUUAUAUUCGUCAUAGAACACUCGCUAGGACAUAAACAAUCUCAGAUGCAUUGUAAAUUGGUAUCUAUACAUUGUUAUUGUGUUCACAGCAAUUUUAGUGCUCGCUAGUAUAAUUAUAAUUUGUUUGACUAAAGAAAAUUCAUUCUAUAAAUGUGUUUUCCAUACAAGAAAACAAGUGAUCUUAAAGAGAAGAUCUAGCAAAUAACUCACAAGUAUACCAAGAGAUUAUUGAGAAAAAUAGAUCCCUCGUAGAUCAAUCUUCCUAUUGUUGAAUGAUUUUUUAGUUUUAUUUUAGUCAAAGUAAAAUAUCUUUAAAUGAUUUUUUUAAACGAUUUUUAUUUUAGUCAAAGGAAAACUUUUUAAAUGAUUUUUUAUUUUUAUUUUAGUCAAAGUAAAAUAUCUUUAUCAUAGAAAAUGUAUGGAAACAUAUAUUUUUUAAAAUAACUAUAUGGAAACAAAUAUAAAUAUAUAAUAGCAUUUGAAAGAAACUUCUUUUUUCUUUUGGGUAGGUUCAAGAACUAAUUAAGAUUUGGAUGAACUUGAAGAUUAUCUCCAUCUAUUGACAUGUGGUCCUCUACUCCUCCUUAUAUAUAGAUAAAUGUUAGAAGUUACUCUCUCCACAUCUUACUUUUCUUUUAGUUUAAUUUAUCUCUUUGUGGUUUCAUUGCUUGUUCUUUUGUCCACAUCUCCAGAAAUCAAAUUAAAAAUCAUGUUUGGGAUCUUAGGGUUUAAUGCUUCCAUGGGGAAAAGGCAGAAGCUAGUGGUCUCCAGCCCAAAAAAGUCUCAAAGAGAAACUUCGAUAGAGAUCCCAGUUGAUGUCUUGAUUGAUAUUUUCUCAAUGUUGCCGUUGGAAGCCGUUGCGAGGUGCCGCUGCGUGUCGAAGAUGUGGUCCUCCGUGCUGCGUCAUGGAGAUUGCACCCAAGUAUACCUGAAAAAGUCAUCGGUCCGGCCUCGUAUGCUAUUCACUCUGCUAUGUAACGGUAAACGUAUCGUUUACUCUAUACCUCAGGAUCUAGAUCCAAACCGGGACUACGCCACUCCUAUAACUCCUUACUACCAGAUGCAUUUCCCUAAAGGUUUGCAUGGUUACUAUGAGGUGUGUCGUCCCUCUAUACUUGGUUUUUUUUGUACCGAAUCUAGGAAACCAAUGAUAUGUAAUCCGAGUACAGGAGAGUACUUGUCUUUACCAAUAGCGACAAGCAAGAGGCAUCAGACGAGAACGUGUUUCGGGUAUGAUCCUAAUGCCAAGCUUUUCAAAGUAUUGUCUCUUUCCGAUGAUUAUGUCUGUCGAGUUGCAACAAUUGCAACGGAAAAAGUGACGUGGAGAAGAGUCGAGUGUUCGAGACCGCAUCAAGCUAUAGAUACUGAGAUAUGCAUAGACGGUGUGCUGUACUAUCUAGCCGAGCACCGUCGAACACACUAUAUGAUUGCAUGCUUUGAUAUUAGAGUGGAGAGUUACAAAUUUGUAGAUGUUGAUUGGUUACAAAGUUGGAGUUCAGCUCUCGUAAACUACCAUGGUAAGCUGGGCAUAUUGUUUCCAACAUAUCCGAGUUUUCCUCUUCACGGCCCAGAAGGUUUUGAGCUGCGGGUUCUAGAGGAUGUAGAUGAAGCCAGAUGGUCGAAGACUGUCUACAUAUUGCCAGAUGGUUGGAAGCAUCUAGCUACCGAUAGCCACCGAGACAUUGUCGGGAUGACUAGUGCAGGUGAAAUUGUGUUGUCGAACUACUUUCUAAUGGAGGAGCCUUUCUACGUGUACUACUUCAAUACAGUGAAGAACACUGUAGUGCAAGUUCAAAUCGACUUCGGAAUUGUAGCUAAGAAGGCUUACUGCCCAAGAAUUGUGACAUUGAUAAACCAUGUCGAGAAUGUAGAGCUUAUGGAUUAGCUUGGCUUUUAAAUCAUCCAUCUUCUUUCUUAAUAAUUGUUGGCCUGUUGUGUUGUUAUUGUUUGGAUGUUCUUUAAAUUGUAUCUUUUCACUUUGAAAAGACAACUUUGGUAACAAUUAAUUAAUGUUCAUUUCUUCUUCUCACCAUUAAAAAUAAAAUAAAAGAUAAAAAAUAGGAUGUCAAUUUUGGAUCAAUUUCUCUUUUUAGUUUCCAUUUAUUGCAAAUAGGAAAAUAUGUACAACAGUUUAGUGUCUUGCCGAACAAGAAAGCAAGCCAAUUACAGAACAAAAGCAUCACUCAUAUCAAAUAGAUAUUGCACUUUCACACAUUUCAUCAAACCGGUUUUGAGUUCUCUCCGGAUUUGUAGUUCAGACCGAAACCAAGAGGAAACAAUGGAUCAUACGAAUUGGGAUGAUCAGCGGUUAAUGGCAACUGGUCAACGUGUCUCAACCAGCUCAAUGGUAACUUCCCCUCGAAGUCAAAAUCCCCAAAAAUGACAUCACUCAUCCCUUGCCCUUCGGUUCCAGGAAGCCAAGCAGCUACCAGAGCCUCAGUCUUUUCAAGAACCGGUUGCUCAAGAACCACAGGCCGUCCUGAGAACAAAACCACUAGAGUCGGGAUUUUCUCUGCAACCGCAGUUACAAUGUCGUUACCGUUUAAGGGUAUCGUGAGUUCCAAGUUAUCCCCCAAUGUCUCUGCGUAAGGAGUUUCACCCACUGCAACAAUGGCAUAGGAGAAGCCCUGACUUGAGGCUAAAGUUUCUUCUGAAGGAGUCUUCUCAUAAAUCACUUCGGUUUUUUCUCCAACUACUUCUUUAAUUGCAUCUAAAAGUGUCGUUCCUGCAUUACAGACCAAAUUAGAUAUGUUCCUAUUAAAAAAGUCCAACAACAUCUAUUAGCCUCUGUGAUUGAAGUUGCUUUAAUAAUUACCUAUUGUGAUCCUGCCGCUUAGACCGAACCAUGCCUUUGUCCAUCCGCCGCACUGAUAUCCAAGAUCGUCCGCGUGUGUUCCAGUGACAAGAAUUUUCUUAGCAUUGCGAUCUAAUGGCAGAAAUGGCUUCUCAGAACUUUUUCCGUUCUUUAGGAGAACUAACGACUUUCUAACCGACUCGCGAGCCAGUUCUCUAUGUUCCUGGAGUCAUGAGAAAACAGGUCAAUCAUGUUCUGGUCCUAGCACUCAGGUCUAAAUCUAAUGGCAUUCUGUAAAAGAGAUCUUACCUUGCAGCCAACAGUGCUCAAUAAAGACCGGUCGGUAAGAGGAUGUUCGAAAAGACCCGCAACAAACUUCACUCUGAGUAUUCUCUCAACAGCAUCAUCGAUUCGAGACAUAGUUACUUCCCCUGACUCUACCAGAUCUGUGAGGUCCUUUAUAAACUGUUCAUACUUGAAAGGCACCAUCACCUGGAGUAACAUUGAUUAAUAAUCUUAGCUCUUUGUAUCAUCCGAGGAGAGAUGAAAAUCAUUCACUAAGGGUUUUAGAAUCAACCAUAUCGACUCCAGCAUUAACCGAGAUUUUAACGCAGUUGCGGUAGUUUGAACCAAAUGGCUCGCUAAGCCGUUCCAAAGCUUCCCAGUCUGAAAUGAUAAACCCCUAAAGAAAAGGCCAAGGUAACCAGCUAAAACCAUAUAUAUACCUAUUACUUAUAUGACUAUUUCAUAUUCAAAAUAAAUUUUUUGGCUGACCUUGAAACCGAGUUUUUGUUUGAGAAGUUCGGUUAAGAGGAAAUAGUUGGAAUGGAGUUUACUUCCGUUCCAGCUAGAGUAGGACGCCAUAACCGUAGAGACUCCCUGAGCAAGACAAUUCAAAUAUGGAGCAAGAUGUACUUUCUCCAACUCUUCAUAUGACACAAUGGUGUUCCCUUCGUUUACGCCCCCUUCAGUACCACCAUCUCCAACAAAAUGCUUGGCGCACGCCACCACGUUGUUUCUAUCACAUAGUGAACAAAGCCAUGAGAAAAUACAUCAAACCUAUUAAUGAAACAAAUGUAGCUAGAAGUCUAUAUAAUAUACCUUCCUGCAAGAAAUGGGUAACCAUUAGGAUGUUCUUUGGGUGGCUCGCCUUGCAGUCCCGAGACAAGCGAACUUAACUCACAAAUAAUGUCAGUGUCUUCACUGUAACUCUCAUAGGAACGCCCCCAUCUCGGAUCUCUCAAUGCCUGUCAGAAACAAUAAAAAAUAAACUCUCUUUCAGUACUUUCUUCCAUUCUCUUGAUUUUCACUAAGCCUAUAGAGACAGACCUCAAAGACGUCAAUGGAUUAGGCAAAUUCUCAUGUAUUGAAAUAUAGCUUAUACUCACAAUGUUCAACUUAUUUGGCAUUAAGAUAUGAGAGAUGGCAAACAAAACAUAUUCUUAAGAAACACUCAAAAGAUAUAUACCCCACCAAAGGAUCCAUUCAGUUGAGUUAGCUAUAAGGAACUUACGGCCACACAUGGAGCAAACGCCCAGUGAGCGCCACAUGCUCUAACUUCAAGUGCUGUUGCAGCCCCAAUUCUUCUGACCAAAUCUGCAUCUCUAUCACAUUUAACAACAACCACUUGUUCAAAUACUAAUACGGUUAGAUUCCAAUCUACUUGGAACAACACUAAAACACACCCAAAUAUAAUACAUAUUGUCCAAACAACACUACAUCCAACUCUUUUCUCAAAAAAAAAUUGUAGUCAUCUCAAAGUGAAAAGAGAAUGAUAAACAAACCUGGUGGCUCCAAGGCCGAUGUUGUGGGGAAAGAUGGUUGCUCCGUAGACGUUGUUGUUGCCGUGGACAGCGUCAAUGCCAUAGAUGAUCGGGAUUCCCAAACGCGACGCUAACGCUGCGUUUUGGUAACCGUCGAUCAUAUCAGCCCAAUCCGACGUUUUAGCGUCCUCGAACGGCCAACUCCCUCCACCGUUUAGUACACUACCUGUAACCCCAAAAUCUCAUUACUACUAUCAAAAUUUGGACUUACGAAACUAAAAAGUUUUGGCCGUUGACUUUAGAAAAAAAAACACAAACGGACUGUGGACUGUUUCGUGUAUACCGAUGAAGUAAUCUGUAAUGACGGGAUGAGUAGUGACGAUACGUUCGAUCUGAGUCAUCUGGCCGAUCUUUUCUGGCAGAGUCAUGCGAGAGAGAAGGUCCUUGACACGCGCCUCCACUGGCGCGUCUGGAUUCUUGUAAACGCAUGUUUCAUUGCUUCCUUCCAUACUUAAUUGUUUUAUCAUCUUUCUUCUUUCUUUAUCCUUCCGUUACAAGUAAACCUCUUUAUAUACUGCCAAGGUUAAGGAUACGUGUCACACGAAAUCUUGCCGUAGCCGACUAGAUAUGAAUAUUAAUUAAGAGUGGAAUUAGUUAAACCAAUAAAAAUUUAAAGAUUUAAUUAACAAGCAGUAGUAGUGAUGUGAAUCUUUCUCCAGUUUUAUAAUUUUAAAUGAACAUGUCAGAUCUAGCAAAAAUCAAAACCUGAAUAAAUGAUACAUAUAGCAAAACAAAAACAAAAAAAACCCUAAUAGUUAUCAUUUAAUUAAACAUCCUAAUCAGUUUUAUUGAUGAUUCAACAAAAAGACUACUCAUUAACAUGAUAUAUGAUGAAGUGAUGAUUAUUUAUUUUGGUUAAUCAUAUAACAUAGAGGUUUGACCAAAACAAAUAAUCACAGUUUUUGGAUCAACUAAUACACAUUAUAGUAUAUCAGUUUAAUUGAUUAAAAUAGUCUGAAUGUUCAAAAAAAAGGUUUAAAUUUUCCUAGAAGAGAUCGUCAAAAGAUAAAAGAAAGACUGUCUAAAAUCUUUUUAAAAGGCAGUCCAAAUAAUAUUAAAUUACGACUGUUGGUCUUCUGAUUAAAUUAAAUACAAAAACAAAACAGCUGGAACCAAAUUCGAUCGAGCCGUGGGAAUUAAAAGAAAUAAAAACAAAGACUAGAAAAUAGUUUGAUGUUAGAAAAUGCUUAGGUGAAUAAGUCUAAUUAUAAGAAGAAUCAAAUGUUGUGAUGACGAAGUAAUGUAGAGAUUGUCACGUAUGUAACGACGCUAAUUAACAUGUCUUUUCGAGAUUGACGAACGUAUCUGAAAGACCAAUCUUAGCACAUAGUGCAUGCGAGAGAGAGAUGCCUUUUUGUGAAUGCAACCCACAAAAAUAGAUGAAGGACGUAUGACGACGCAGCAUCAAUACGACUUACUUUAUAUAGUUUGCAUCCUUUUCUUUUUAUCUAAACAAAAUAUUAUUCCAAUGCAUGAUGAACUAAAGUUUUUGAACCCCAUUUCAAGAAGAUCCUUUUUAACAGAAAGAGUCCCAUAAUAUUCAACAGCAAGUUCAAACUGUGUUAGAGUUCUCCACGGAGUCAUGACCGAGACCAAAACCAAGAGGAAACAAUGGGAGAUACCCAUUUGAUUCAAUGUCAAGCGGCAGCUGGUCUACGCUUUUGAACCAGCUCGCUGGUAACUUCCCUUGGAACUCAUAAUCUCCGAAUAUUACAUCAGCCAUCCCUUGCCCUUCAGUACCAGGUAGCCAAGCAGCAACCAGAGCCUCUGCCUUUUCAAGAACUUGCGGCUCAAGAAACAUAGGCCGUCCUGAGAACAAGAUCACUAGAGUCGGGAUUUUCUCUGCAACCGCGGUUAUAAUCUCGCUACCAUUCAAUGGUAUUAUGAGUUCUGAGUUAUCCCCCAUAGUCUCUGCAUAGGGCAACUCCCCCACCGCAACAAUUGCAUAAGAAAAACUCUUUCGCGCGGCUAAGGUUUCCUCUGAUGGGGUUUUCUCAUAGAUUACUUCGGUUUCGUCUCCAACGGUUGCUUUUAUGGCAUCCAAAAGCGUUGUGCCUGCAUAGUGAGACAUCAAUAUAUAUUAGUUUUUCGACUUAAAAGACCAUUUAGCCUCUGUCUAUUGCAUAUCUAGUUACCAUUUGUGAUCCUUCCGCUUUGACCAUACAUUGUCUUUGUCCAUCCACCGCAUUGAUAUCCAAGAUCAUCCGCAUGCGUUCCAACCACUAGGAUUCUCUCGGCAUUGCAAUUUAACGGCAGAAAUCGCGCAUAUUUGCCGUUUUUUAGCAGAACUAACGACUUUCUAACCGCUUCACGCGCCAAUUCUCUAUGUUCCUAAACGUGUGAAAACAGAGUAAAAAUCUUGUUUUCUUGGUAUCUUAAUAAUCUUAAUUCUUAAAACUCUUUUCUAAUAGUCUUCUUAACAAGAAAGCUCACCUUGCAACCUACAGUAGGUAACAAAGUUCGAUCUGCAAGAGAAUAUUCAAAGAGCCCUGCAACGAACUUCACUCUGAGUAUCCUUUCAACAGCGUCAUCAAUACGAGCCAUCGAUACUUCCCCUGACUCCACCAAAUCUAUAAGGUCAUUUGUGAACUUUUCAUACUUGAAAGGUACCAUCACCUGCGAUAACAUUGGUUUAAUUAUAUUUUCUCUUGAAUCAUCUGGAGAUAACAUAAAAAGAAAUCACUACCAUAGUACCAUAUCGAUUCCAGCAUUAAUCCCCAUUUUGACGCAGUUGCGGUAGUUUGAACCCGGUGGAUCGCUAAGCCGGUCCAAACCUUCCCAGUCUGAAACUACAUAUCCCUAACAACAAGAAAAAAAAAACAAAUGAACUCAAUGACUACAUAUCUAGCUUUAUUUUUUUCUAUUUUUUUCGACACUCAAAUCAACCUUGAAACCGAGUUUUUGUUUGAGAACUUCCGUUAAGAGAAAAUGGUGGGAAUGAAGUUUAUCUCCAUUCCAACUGGAGUAAGAGGCCAUAACGGUAGAUAGUCCUUGAGAAAUACAUUUCUUGUAAGGAGCAAUGUGUUUCCUCUCUAAGUCUUUGUACGGCAAAAUGGUGUUUCCUUCAUUUAUGGCCUUAUUGGUACCACCAUCUCCAACAAAGUGCUUGGCACACGCAACCACGUUUUUUCUAUCACCAAGUGACCAAUUCCAUGAGAAAUGAAAUUAAAGAUACUAAAGACACAAAUUAAGUUAUAAUUUUGUAUAUGUAGGUAUAUAUACCUUCCUGCAAGAAAAGGGUAACCAUUUGUGUGUUCUUUGGGUGGCUCGCCUUGUAGACCCGAGACAAGUGAAGUCAUCUCCGAAACAAUUUGAGCAACUUCACCAUAACUCUCAUAGCAUCUUCCCCAUCUCGGAUCUUUCACUACCUGUAAGAACAACAUCUCAUUCAGUUGACUAAGAAAUCAAUGUUCAAUCUUAUUGCUAAAGUCUAAAUGUAUAAGAGAUGACAUACUGCAACGCAGGGAGCAAACGCCCAGUGAGCACCGCAAGCUCUUACUUCAAGUGCUGUUGCAGCUCCAAUUCUUCUGACCAAAUCUACAUCCCUACAAAGUUACCAAUGUUAUCAAAACAUAGCCACAAUAGAUAGAUGCAUCAAUCUUGGACACAAUCAUCAGAUGUUAACCUCAGCCAGUGUAACUAACUAUUCAUUACUAAUUGCUACUACUAUAUGGUGAGAUUAAAAGUAUUAUAGGAGUAACAUGUUCAAAACUUCUAAUAAGACCAAAAUCAAGUACUGUUGAAUUAGUAAAGACAAGUCUCAUAAAAAGAUUAAAUUCAAAUUUUUAUCCUUCUCUUCUACUAAAUUUGUACUUAGCUCAAAAGGGAACCAGACCUGGUGGCGCCGAGACCAAUGUUAUGGGGAAAGAUGGUAGCACCAUAGACGUCAUUGUUGCCGUGAACGGCGUCUAUGCCAUAGAUGAUCGGAAUUCCUAAACGCGACUCUAAUGCUGAUCGCUGAAAGCCGUCGAUCAUAUCCGCCCAAUAGGACGACUUUGCAUCCUCGAAUGGCCAAUUUCCUGCUCGGUUCAGUAGACCACCUGUGAAAAAUGUGACUUACUUUGUAUCUUGAGUAUGUUCACUCUUCAUACAAAGAGAGAAACGCUAACAAAGGUUUGGUCGUUGACCAAAACAAAUUUAGAAAUGGUCUCUGUGGUUGUGUAUAAUACCGAUGGAGUAAUCUUUAAUGACGGCCUGAGAAGCGACGCUGCAUUCGAUCAAAGUCAUCUGACCGACUUUCUCAGGCAGAGUCAUCUGGGAAAGAAGGUCCUUCACACGCGCCUCCACAGGUGCGUCCCGGUUCUUGUAAACGCAUGACUUUUCAUUGUCAACCAUUUUCUUCCUCUGCCUCUUCUUCUUCUGACAAUAUCACUUCUUCUCUUUAUAUAGCCAAACACGAUACACAUAUACACAUAUGUUGACUUAGCUUGGAUCUUCAUGACUAAUGGUGGUUUAUUGUAAGAAAAGACAAAUAUAUAUACUAAACAAUAAAUCCACCAUAAACAAUAAAUUAAAGAAGUCAAUAAUUAUAUGACUUGGAUCUUCAUGACUAAGGGUGGUUUAUGUAAGGUGUGAACUCUUGAGAUCAUGGCUAAACCCACCAAAAACAAUAAAACAAGAAAACAUCAUAAACAUCACUAGAAGUAUAAACACACAUUAACAUACGUAGAUGCUAUUGCCAAUAAUAUUUUUACUUUUGGAUUAAAAGCAUUUUAUUCAUUUUUUUUUUUUUGAAAACAACACUUAAUUCAUUUCAAAAUCUUAAACUUGUUUCUCUUCUAUUGUAGUGCCACUUGAAUAUCUUUUCUCUGAGAUAUGCUAUAUAAAUUACAUUACCGGCUUACAUAUCACUUUUAAAAAAAAAUAUUGUGUUGUAGAACUCAUGAAUAAUAAUGACCAUUGAUUUUAUUUAUUUAGAAAAUGGAUUAUAUUUUUCUAAUUUUUUUUUAUAAUUUCACGAAAAGUGUAACACCUACCAUAGUAUUUCGUCUUAAAUUAAGAAGUUAAGUUGGGUUUAGUAAUAGUUUGUUUUUCCUUGUAAUGUAUUUUCACAAAAAGCGUGAGUCCUACGAUAUACAAUGUAUUUUGUACAUAUAUUAUUGUUAUAAACAAAAUUUUAACUUAAAAUAUGGUUUUCACGUUUAAAAUUUUAUAAAUAUAAUUUACAUAGACUGUUUUGUACUCUACCAUACAUUUAAACUAUACUUUCAUUGUAAAACUUAGUAACAUAUUUGAAACAUGAUUCUCGUAAAAAAAAAAAGUUAAAAUAUUAUUUAAAUUACUUAGAGAUGGAAACUAAACGUAAUAAAAACAUUUUGUAUAUACAAAAGUAAUUCGAAUUUCUUCAAAUUUUGGAGUAGAUGACGGUUUCUAAUUAGGGUCGUUUAUGAGCAGCUGCACAAAAAGACCAACAAGCUUGGGCAGUGUCUACAACGACGGUUCCUGCGAAACCUGUGCAUUUAAACUUUUUCCCAUAUGGAUAGCACGGCGGCUCUUUUACUUUUUCAUUUGUGAUUGGAUUUCUUAACGGGUCAUCUUUGAACAUAUUCCUUAUAGAAUC